rnacentral:lncRNA from 1 species
UAAAAAACAAAAAAAAAAAAAAAAAAAAAAAAACCUCUCUCGAGCCAUAAGUUUGUGGUUGCAAAAUCCUUAGUUGGCUCAACAACCUCCUUAUUUUCGGAAAUCCCAUCUUGAGCCACAAGUUUAUCUCAAAACCCUUGUUUGGCUCAACAAACCCUAAUUGUGAUCAACAAGGAUUUUGGAUGUCCUCUUGAGCCAUUGAUGAUCAACAAGGUUUUUGUGUUCUCUUAAGCCAUUGAUGAUCAACAAGGUUUUUUGUUCUCUUGAGCCAUUGAUGAUCAACAAGGUUUUUGUGCCCUCUUGAUCCAUUCGUGAUCAACAAGGAUUUUGUGUGCCCUCUUGAUCCAUUCAUGAUCAACAAGGUUUUUGUGCCCUCUUGAUCCAUUCGUGAUCAACAAGGAUUUUGUGUGCCCUCUUGAUCCAUUCAUGAUCAACAAGGUUUUUGUGCCCUCUUGAUCAUCAAUUAAAUUCGAAAUUCUUUCUUGAGCCAAACCUUGAUUUCGAAAUCCCUCUUGAGCCAUCACUAGUUUCGAAAUUCCUCUUGAGCCAUUCAUGAUCAACAAGGUUUUUGUUCCCUCUUGAUCAUCAAGUAAUUUCGAAAUUCUUUCUUGAGCCAAACCCUGAUUUUGAAAUCCCUCUUGAGCCAUCACUAGUUUCGAAAUUUCUCUUGAGCCAUUCAUGAUCAAGAAGGUUUUUGUGCCCUCUUAACUAUCAUGUAAUUUUGAAAACCUUCUUGACCCAAGCCAAAAUUUCCAAAUUCACUCUUGAUCAUCAACAACCUUAUCUUGAUCAUCAAGCAAUUUUGAAAAACAUUCUUGACCCAAGCCAAAAUUUCGAAAUUCCCUCUUGAUCAACAACAACCUUAUCUUGAUCAUGAAGCAAUUUCGAAAACCUUCUUGACCCAAGCCAAAAUUUUGAAAUUCCCUCUUGAUCAUCAACAACCCUGUCUUGAUCAUCAAGCAAUUUCGAAAACCUUCUUGACCCAAGCCAAAAUUUCGAAAUUCACUCUUGAUUAUCAACAACCUUAUCUUGAUCAUCAAGCGAUUUCGAAAACCUUCAUGACCCUAUACCAGCCUCAUGAGUCUCGUAAUUCCUUCCAGCCUCAUUUUGAUCAUCCUUGACGCAACUUUACAUCUUGCGCCACAUAUCACUCUUGUGUCAUCCUCCCUUAUUGGCCAUCACUCCUUGUCCCUCUAUACACUUCUUGUGCAAAUAUCACUUGCGCCACCCUCUUUUUCUUCUCCUCUUACGCCAACCCUAAUUCACGUUCGUGCAUUCAUCUUGGCACAACACUCCAUCCUUUAACACAUUCUCAUGAUCCGACUUUGUAAUUGGUACAUCCGAUUACGACCAUCUCAGCCCAUGCUCACAUCAAUAUCAAAUUGGCACAUCAUCCCUCUCUUAAUCAUGAUCAAUCUUCAGUCAAAACUCUUUGGCGCAUCAUCAAUUCACAUCGUGACUAUCUCCUAGAUGCGCAACUGAUCAUUGGCGCAACUCCGAUCCGACUGCAUUGCGCAACUUCAAUCAGCAACGCCUCAGUUUUUGGUAAUCUUUUUGUUGGCGUAAUUGAUCAUUGGUGCAUAUCCAUCUCGUGAUCCUCUUAUGAUCAUCAGGUAAUUAUCGAGAGUUCGAGACUAACUUCAGCCCUAGUUCUCAAGUGUUUUUUUAAUCCUUAAUACACAUACUUGUAUGACGUUUCUUUUGUAGUUGUCGAUUUUUUUGUUAGUGAGAUAUGAUCUAAGUACAUGAUCAGAUUUAUGAAUCAUGUUUUUGUGAGCAUCAUCUUGUCCGAUCAUCAACCUUCCUAGCUGUGAAGUUUUCUCUUUUUGGUCAUGAUCUUAUGCUUAAUUCUUUUUAGUGUAUGUGUAAACCUGCUACUCCAUCUCCCAUCAUCACUUUUUUUUUAAACCCCUGAUGUAAAGUUUUUUUUUUUUUUUGACAUUCAAAUUAGGGGUGAGAAUGGUGCGGUUUGGUGCGGUUUUCAGACCAAACAGAACCGCAAACCGCAUGGUGCGAUUUUUGCAUUCUUAAAACCGUUGGGUGCGGUUUUGCAAUGGUUCGGUUUUUCGGUUUUUAAAUGCGGUUUCGGUUUCUUUCGGUGCGGUUUCGGUUUUUAAACCGUGUUAUGAAUUUGGUGCAGUUUUUUUUUAUGUUUUUGGUGGGGUUUUUUAAAACUGUAAGAACUGAAAACCCGGUGCAUAUAAGCUUGUAUUGUGCUGUUUUUUUUAACACAUUCAUUUUCAGCUCAAAACAAAAUUACAUAAUCAAAAAUUGUAAGUCGCUUAAAAUACAACUUGUGACCACUCUCACAAACUAAUUAAUAAUUGAAGGUUGGUUGAUUUUGACUUAAUUUGUUACAAGCUUAUUACAUGUAAUUGAUUAGUACCUUUGGCUAACAAUAGAACAUUUCUUUUGCACCUCAUAUAGUCUUUAUACAAACACAAAAUAAACAUAUAAUAAAUAUAUUAUCGUUUAUAACUAUUUUAAAUAGCAUGUAUAUAAUAUACAUUGAUUGAUUUAUUACUAUACACGCUUGCGGUGCGGUUCGGUUUUGGUGGACUGGUUUUUAGGAUAGAAACCGCACCGCACCGUUCACCUUCGGUUUUUGCAAAAAUUAAAUCCGCACAAUUGGUUUUUGCAUCGGUUUCGGUUUUUCGGUUGCAGUUUAUUGCGGUUUUGUCGGUUUUUCUUUAGUCGGUUCGGUUUUUGCUCACCCCUAAUUCAAAUCAAUGUGUAUGAGCAGUUUUGUUUUUAGAGAGUCAUCACGUGUGAAUCUUACAACAUCGUCUGUUCAUCUACAAACCUUAGGUAAGAUUCAUGUUAAUUUUUUUUUCAUAUGCAUGCUUGAGUGAAGGUCUCUCUUUGUUGAAUCAUCACCGAGGAUUCAAUAUCUGAUUCGCGCAACUCCUCACUUCCUCACUUUGAGCAUCAUCAUCUCUUGAGUGAAGGUGUCUCUUUUAUUUUUCUUUCUUUCUUUUCUUCUUGAGCCAAUUUUUAUUUUCUUCUUGAGUCACCAUCGAGCUAUCUUGGAAAGCCAACGUGAAGUGCUCAUGCACCUCAAGAAACCCCCCAGCAACAUGUUGUGUAGAACCAAGGCUUCAAAAAAACUUUUUGUGACAAUUUUUUUUGGUGAGACUUGAAUGUUACAUCUUUUUAAUCAUUUGUGACGGUCCUGCUGUCGCAAAAGGGUUACACAUAAGCAUUAAAAACAAGGCUUCACAAACUUUUUGUGACAAUCAAAAUUUGCUUGUGACCCUUGCAUGGAGCUUUUGUGACAGUUUUGAUGUCACAAAAGGUACAUUCAAGUUGUGGUGUGAUAAAAAAAAUUAUACAUUUUUUUUUGUUGGUUACACUCUCACACACAUGCACGAUUUUUCUCCCUUUUCCUUUUAUUUAUUUAUUUUUAAAUUCUUUUAUUUCAAUUUUGUUUAUUACUAUUUUUUUUAUCUUUCUAUUUUGUUUUAUUUUUAUUUAUUUCUUUAUUGUUUCUUUUUUUUUAGCUAUCACUUGAAUAAGGCAUCAAUAAACACUAUCUUAGUUUAAAUUUCACAUCUUUAUCGAUAUUCUUAGUGUUUAUUUGAUAUUCAAGGGAUAUCCAUAGAAUUAUUUUAUCCAACCCUAUUUUGAAAAUAUCAUUCAUGAUUAAAAAAUAUUUCUUUUUAUUUUUUAAAAUUUUGUUUUGAUUCGCUAUGGUCCUAUAAGGCCUAGACCUAGCAACUUUGCUUUAUCAUAACACUUUUGGUAUGAUUUUAGCAAAAUAUCAAAGUUUUUAUCUAUUUUUCAGUUUGUAGAAAAAGCUCAAGUCUUUCAUUCUUAUUCAACACUUGAUCUUUUCUUCAAACUUGUGGCCUAAAUAAAACACAACAUGAUUUUGCAAGUUAUUCUUAUCUGUCAGUUUACUUUCCUAUCUUGACAAAACAAGUUUUUGUCUAGAUCAUGCAAAUUCAAAACAUUUUUUUAAUCAAUUCCAAUUUUUUUGUUGUCAUAUUGACAAUUAAAUUUUCUUUAAGAAAAUCUUUCAAGUUCGAAAAACACAUUCUCUCAAAUAAUUUUUAAAGUUUUUUUUUUUUUUUUUUUUUUUUUUUUUUUUUUUUUUUUUUGGUUCUUCUUCAACCUAAAUUUCCAUUAAAGCAAAGGGGGGAAAUGUUAAAUCAAUAUUUUUCCUUUUUCACACUUUUUACAACUCCUUAUUUCAGUAACCAUAACAUAGGGGAAACUAUUGGAAAUAUUUUGAUGUGAUUUUCACUUCAAAUAAGUUGAGUAUUGAUUUACAUUUUCUAAUAAACAUUAUCAGAAUGUUUCAGGUUGAAAAGAUCCUGAAGAUUCAACAAGUGUUUGAAGAAUCAAAUGUUGGAGCACUUGAAGUUGAACUUGGAGCACUUGUUGUUGACAUGGAGUACCCGCUGAAAGCAAGUUGGAUCAUCAUGAUCUCAGAUAGCACAUCUAGAUUAUAUGUGGAGCAUCAAAACACUGAUGGAUCAUUUGGAAUAUUGAUGGCUCAUCAGAAACAUUGUUGACUCAUCCACAACUCUAUGGCUCAACAAGAGUUGAUGGCUCAAUAAGAACAGUUGGUGGCUUAACUCAAGUCAAUGGGUCAACAUGAUCACAUUGAUGGCUCAACAAGACUGCACAUGGCAUAUCAUGUACAAUGAAGGAACGUCCAAAUGCUCAAAGGAACAUGAAUUUCGUCCAUGGUCCAUCAUGCACAUGUGGUGGUACAUCUUUAAGUUCAAGUCACAGUCCAACACUCAAAGUAACAACUCAACUUGGUCAACAACACUUCUGGAAGUUGAUGACAUCUAAGUUGACAAUUGAGUAACAUGAUGCUCAUGUUGCUCAUUACUUUUUCAAUGUUGAUCAAGAAGGUUCAAGAAUUAUGAAGACUCAUAACUUGGAUGGAACCCUAAUGGAAUACUAACGGAAUUGGAAUAUUCCAUCCAUUCUUCGUUAAAUAGGGCGAAGGUGUCAACUGAUGAUGACCUAGUCAUGAUGACGUGUCAACACCUGAUUGGUCAAGCCAUGUCAAGGGCUUUUCCAAAGCCUAUAAAUAGGCCCCUUGGGAUCCAUUAUAAAGUUGUUCUUCCUUGCUCAUUUGAGAUCAUUCUGCACAAUUGUUGUUUAGAGUAGUCUUCAGAGAGCCAUUUGAAUGUUUUGGCUUGUCUAUCAUUCAAACACUUGUAACUGAAUCUUGUUGAAUAUGAGACACUUUUGAAUUAUUGAUCUUGAACAUAUAAAAAACGUUUUUAUCAUUAAGUUGGUGAUUCAAAACUCUUUAUUUUUCACAUUAGUUGCCACUUGACGAUUCUGAAAUUCUGUUUUGGUAUUUUCAACACUUGGACUACUCUAAUCUAGGUUUACUGAAUUUUUCUCAUUUCUUCAAUUAUAAUUUCCUAAUAACGUUACUAUAAUUAAAUAAAAGCUAUAUUAAAAAUAGUGUAGACAUAGCUCACUUACAGCAGGUUUUAUAGAAAACCGGGCUUCACUUGGAGCAGCGUUUCCGAGCUGAAAGACCCUUUCUCUCGGGACUCCGGGAGCCUCAGGGCUUCCUUCGGGUGCUAGGGGGUUUACCUAGCCUUAGGAGGGGGUUAGGGAUCCUAGAGAGAGAAAUAAGUUAGAGAGAAGUGAUUUUGCUGCAAGAGAUUCGGCUGCCUUCACUUCCUUUUUAUAGCCUGUGAGGCCUCGAUAUGUUGGGCGUACCACGGACCUACGCUGGGCGUAGUGCUUCGUUCGUAGAACACGUGUUGCGGCUUCAGUGGGGCGACGUGGCUUCUCCUGGACCGAUGGAUGCAACAAUACGCGGGGCAUAACUCUUUCCGACGAGGGGUGUACUUCUCAUUCUCAAGGCACCCUUCGGACUACGCCGGGCAUUCUCGGAUUACGCUGCGCGUAGUCCUCGCACCAGCUGUCACCAUCUGAAGCGAGGCGUGGGCAACAAGGAACGGAUGAGAUUUGGCCACGUCAUCAAUCUCUUAUCAGAUUUUGCAAAUUCACUUUCCGGCUUCUAAAAAUCAUAACUUUCGCAUACGAGAUCCGUUUUCGACGUUCUUUAUAUCCACGCGUAGGCGGGAAUGUACUCUACAACUUUCGUUUAGACUCUGUCGUCUAAUUUUGACUUUAAUAUAAAAUUUAUAUUAUUAACAGGCCAGGACAAGAUUGGUCCGUUAAAAAUUCAUAACUUCCUCAUCAGACGUCCGUUUUCGUCUGUCUUUUUACCGCUACGCUACUAUUAACGAGAUAUUUGAUUCUUGUUUAGGUUAUGUCGGCUAAAAACCGCUCAAUCUAAUAUUCGAAUUUCAAGCUGUAUAUUGCUAAGCCGAAACUUCGAAAAAUCAUAACUUCCUCAUACGAAGGCAGAUUUGGGCGUUCUUUUCAUGGAUGCUAUCAGUUUAACGUAUUCUACGACUUUCGUUUAGAUCACUAAGUCUGAAUAUCACUCUAUCGUAAAUUCACUAUUUGCGUUUCCCGGUGUCGUGUCGGUUUCGUCUCGAAACUUCGACGGGUCAUAACUUAUUCGUCAUAACUUGGAUUUCGGCGUUCUUUAUAUGUACGGAAACCUUGUAAUAUAUACUAAAACUUGGUUAAGAUUAUUUAUUAUAAAUAAUCUUUUUCUGAAAAGUCAAUUUCGACACUUAUUGCCUCUAAAUUGACUAGCCCGGAUCUGCAGGCAUUACAUGAGGCAACAAAGGAGGCUAUAUGGAUAAAGAACUUCAUUGGAGACCUUGGAGUUGUACCUGCUAUAAAGGAGCCUAUAGAGAAUUUAUAUGAUAGUGAAAGUGCAGUUGCCUUAGCUAAGGAACUAAGGGAUCACAAGAGAUCCAAACACAUCGAUAGAAAAUACCACUUCAUCAGACAUUGAAUAGAAAAAGGACUCCUCGUGGCAAAGAGGGUAUCAUCAGAUGAGAACCCAGCUGAUCCCCUCACGAAGGGAUAGGGUAGGGUUAGGCAUCUCCAGCAUGCGAGGCACAUAGGGCUGAAGGAUGAUAUUUGUUUUAGUAGUUAGAUAGCUUUGAAAUGUGUAAAGUGUAAUUGACAUUUGAUGAUGAAUAAAAGUUGUUUAUUUAUGAGUAAAGUGUUGCUAUCUUUUGUCAAUCGUUUACUAUCGUUUCAUUUUUGAAUGUUUUGACUUCCAAAAUAAUUAUGUUAUGGUAUUUCAUAUUAUUCAACUUCUCCACAGUCGGUCAUAUGUUGAAAGUAGAUAUGAAUCAAGACUGUCAUGUAGUUGGUUGUAGAUGUCUAAGAUGUUGGACAUAGCAAAGUGUUGCUACAACACUCAUGAGUGUUUAUAAGUUCUGAGUAUUGGAUUCAACCCACGCUCACUUGUAUCACUACAUGGAAUUCAUCUCGAGUGAUCGUGAGAUGGUAAUAUCAUAUAAGUCUUCAAACAUAGAGAUACAGUUUGUUGCCUAUGAGUUGGUUAUACGUUGAUUGUACGAAAACGCAUUCGUAACUCGAUGUUUUAAAACAUGCCUAUAUGUAUGAUUCAACAAGUAGUAGAACAAGCAUAUGAGUUGAAGUUUAUAUGUUCCUUCUUGGAUUAGAAGUGAUAUUUAGGCCCCUCAAUGAUUUUGUGUUGACCCAUGUACCGGGCCCAGUCAGAACUAAGUUGAUGUGUUCAAUUAAGUUCUAUGUCAAACAAAUCGGAAAUCGGAAAACAAACUGUUGGACAAUAAGUAAGACAUUGUUCCAUGUAUUUGUCUGACUGAUAUCUAGAACAGAUGAUUAUAUGAUCACUCAUCUUCAAUGGUGUAUCAUCAUCUUCUCAGUUCAACGAGACCUUGAAAGAGCUACGAUUGCUGAUCGGUUCCUGAAGUCAUUCUUGCAGUUAUAGUUAUUAGACUUAUCCAAGUGGGAGACUGUUGGAUUAGGUGUCUAAGUUCAUAACUAUUCCUAGAAUGUACUUGACCCAGUUAGCAUGGUUUAUUUGGGUUGCAUGACAUUGCAACACUUGGAUAGACUAAAUGAGAGAAAGGACACUUAAGGAUUAUUAAUAUAUUAUAAGUUCUAAUAUAUUAAUAAUAUUAUUUAAUUAGUAUUGAUCAAAAAAUUAAUUUGAAAUUAAUUAAGUGAUCAAAAAGAGACUAAUUAAAUAUUUGGGGUUGAUUGUGUAAAUCAUCUAUUCUUGUAUAGUGGGCUAAUGAUCCAUGGUUUGUAUGGAUUGGGCUAAAACCGAUAAGGUGAUCCAUGGAUAGUCCAUGGAGGUUACAAACUCAUGGAUCAUGGAAUAUGGAAAGCCAUGACAAUUAGGGUUUACAUGGUGUAACCCUACUUGUGCCGCAACUAUUUAAAGACCCCUUGACUAGCAAAAAUUGGCACUACUACAAGUAAGUACAAGAGGGCUAGCCGAGUUUUGAGUGUUAGUGAACUUCUAUCAAGGUUAUUCUAAGUGUUGUGGUGUUGUGUGAGACAUUUGAGGCAUCACACUUGAGGUGUUAGGCUCACAAGGUUCUUAAGGAAUCCAAACAACAAAAAGGUAUGUUCUUUUACUAGCAUUUACAUUAAAAAGUUCGCCAUGCCAUGCUAGUUAGGUUAAGAACCUUAGAAAAGCAAUUUUGCAUGUAUCUUAGUAAAACAUAGAUCCAAGGUUUCUAGGGUUUCAUGUACACCUUAGGAGUGUUAGAAUGCUCAAAACCCUUUAGUUUCUUCUUACACUUGUCACACCAUUUUUCUUUGGCACCUCCUCCAAAUUUACUCGAACCAGACUUCGAGAACUUACUCUUCUUGUUGGAACCUGAAGUUCCUUCAAACUUUUUUUUCUCGCCAACUUCAACCUUGCUGGCGGAUCUUCCCUUGAUCAUAUGUUCAACAAACUUGGCAGCCCAGAUAGCUGCCUCCAAACUAAGUUUCUGGCGCACUGGUACCACAUACUCCCAUUGAAGUCCCUUUGGUGUAUUCAUCAAUAGAUAUACUUGAUUUUCUAACUGAAGUCCCAUUGAAUUCCUUUUGGUGUAUUUCCUUCUUGAAUGUUAAAUAAUUGAUUUUCUAACUCAAGCACAUUUUGGGUCGAGCAAUACUUGCACUUGAAAUGCACCAAGAACUCUACCCAAGUCAGUUGUAGUUGCUCAUUAGGGAUUAGGGACUUCCCCAAAGUGUUCCACCAGCAAACAGCGCCACCUCUAAACUGACGCACUGCAAAUAUGGUUUGUAGCUUGCCUUUGCAACCACAUGUCAUAAAAGCUAAUUCCAUCUCCGAGAUCCAAUCCAUUACUCUGAUAGGAUCUUCGUUUCUAGUGAAGGUUGAUGGGUUGCAAGUCAUAAAACCUUUGUACUGGCAUCCUUUUUUCUCAACUACUUCCUCUUGGUUAUUCCUUCUAUCCACAAGCGGUUCAGUUUGACCAACAGAUCUACUGUAAUUUCCUUCCUCUGAAUGAUAAUCAUUUAAUUCAAGUUGUUCAACAGGCAUUGAAUAUUCAUUCAUGUUGUUCAGCAAUAAUUGCUUCAUUUCUUCCCUUUGUUCAGCCAUCAUUGUCUAAAUCAUGGUUUGUACUCCAGCCAUGGUGAUCGGUUCUAGUGCAGCUUCUGCUAUAGGCACCUGCUCCAUCACAUGAGGUUGAGGUUGCUGAUUUCUACUUGCAUUUCCAGCUCCACUUCGGGUUCUUGCCAUUUUGAUCUAUACUCCAAAUUAGGUGAAUUUAGAUAUUUAUUCAAGAUAGAUAUUUAAAUUCUCCUGAUCACUCUGAAACAUUAAAUGCUAGUUCUAAUAUCGUAGUCAUACGCUUAGAAUCCUAAACACAUAAGGUUUCCAGAUCUAGUUAGCAACAGACCAUAGAUCCGCACAAUUAAUAGAAUAUAUAGCAAACAUAUAGCAUUUAGCACAUAAAAACAUUUUAGGCAUCUUUCUUAAAAUAAACUAGUGCUCAUAUCUAAACUAUGGUAGACACUCAUCUCACGAUCAUCACUUAGCAUUCUAAGUUUAAGUCUAGAAAUCCUACAAAUUCCUAGUUCGCUUAAACUAAUGCUAUGGUACCAACUAUGACAUCCCCAAAUUUCCCUGCCAGAAAAGACCGAUUUAGUUUUUCCUUUAAAAUAAAAUCAAAGUAAUCUUCUAAAAGAUGUUGCGGAAUUUAUCCCCAAAACAAAAUAUGAUAAAAAUUUAUCAAAGCAAUUCUUAAAUAAAUGUAUUUUCACUAUAUAACAAAACAUCAGGAUGCCAUGUUCCGAUACAGACCAAAAGCAUAAACAGUACAUUAUAAGCCUUACAAUAGUUAUUUACAUCUACGAGCCUAUAAUUCAAGAAUCCCUCGUCAUCCCCAACAAUGCUCUCAGUCCACUACCUGUAACAAAAAGCUGAGUGGGUCAGGCUUGGAAGCCUGGUGAGCAUAUAGGGUUUUCAACUCACAAAUAAUAAAUUUAUUUAUUUCAACAACCAACAAUAAAUUUAUUAGUUUCAUCAACCAACAAUAACGUUGCUUACCCGUUCCUGUUAUCCUCACUUUACGUCCCUAAACACCUAUCACAAGGGACCUAGCCUAAGGAUCAUCAUCAGGAUGGACACUACUGCUAAGGGGAUUCCUCAGCCAUACAUGUCCUUAAGGCAACCAAGAGGGGGAAGGAGUACACCAGCGAACAUAUAGUUCACCAACACCUACAGGUUGCGAGCCUGCUAAUGUUCCAUUGGACUGUCUAGAAAGGUCUGUGGUUGUCAUCUAUACUCUGCUAGAUGAAUACAACAACAACAACAACAAUAACAUCGAGGCCUCUCAUAAUUUUAACACACAUCAACUAUUUCAUCUAGACAUGUUUUACCCAACAUAUUUGUAGAUAAACAUACAUAUACCAUUUAAAACUUGUAUAAAACAUUUAUUCAACACCCAUCUCAAAUAAACAAACAAUAUAAUUACACAUAGCACGUAUUUUUAAGAAAAUACUUCAUAUUUAUGUGUAAGAUGAAAGUGACUACACGCUCACUUAAUUUAACGAUAAUCAGGAAGCACUUCGUCUCUUAAAACGAUCAUUUUCGAUAAAAACCGGGAUGUUUUCUCAAAAACCGGGCUUCACGCGGGCAAAGUUUCGUCUCGAAAAACUUUUUUCUUGGGAUCUUCGGGCUCUCUGGGCUUGCUUACAAUGCUAGGAUAGUAUUUUAGGUUUAGGGGUAAUUUUUGCAAUAUAAAAGAAACUAUACGGAUGUGAGGAUGGAAAUUGUAACAUCAAUUCGGCUGGCAUCGUCCACUAUUUAUAGUGGUUGAACACUCGAGUUACGUUGGGCGUAACUCUAUGGUACGCGGGGCGUACUGCUUCACCAGCCACUAAGUUGGGCGUACGAAGGGAUCGUCUCAGAUGCAUCAAGGCUACGAACACGCGUCUAUCAUGUGAAGGAGUAGGCGACGUGGCCAACUUCGGACCGAGUAAACGAGUACGCUGGACGCACUCCGAUUUAUCAAACUUCAAAAAUUUGGAACUUUCGCAUACGAACUCCGUUUUUAACAUUCUUUAGAUCCAUACGUAGGUGAUACCAUGCUCUACAACUUUCGUUUAGACACCGUCGGCUAAUUUUAACAGGCCGGGACAUGAAAAGUCUGUUGAAAAUUCAUAACUUCUUCAUCCGACGUCCGUUUCUGUCUGUCUUUUUACCGUUAAACUACAAUCGACAAGAUCUUCGAUUCUCAUUUAAGUUAUGUCGGCUAAAAAUCGCUCAAUCUAUAAUUUGAGUUUCGGGCUGCAUACUAUUAUACAAAAUCUUAGAAAAUUCAUACCUUCCUCAUACGAAGUUAGAUUUUGACAUUCUUUUUGUGCACGCUCUCGGUUUAACGUAUUCUACGACAUUCAUUUAUAUUUCUAAGGCUAAAAAGCACUUUAUCGAAAACUCACUUUUUACGUCACACAACGUUGUGCCGGUUCUAUCGCAAAACUUCGAUAGGUUAUAACUUCUUCGUUAUAACUCGGAUUUCGAUAUUCUUUAUAUCUUCGGAAUCCUUGUUUCAACCACUACCACUUCCUUCAUAAAUAUCUAGUUUAUCUAACAUUUAUUUUCGAUGCUAUUUUUAUCCUUAAUUCAUUAAAUUAUAAUAAUUAAGUAUAAAACACAUAAUAGUCAAAUAAUACAUCUUAUUAUUUCAAAACAAAUUACAAAGGGUGACCUAGACUAUUACAUCAUCAUUAAUGCCUAGCCUAGAAGCACUGGCGUUACAGUAUGUCCCAAAGGCUUGACACACUAAGCAAAGGUGAGCAGGUGUGACUGAUGUGUCCCAGUGAGGUUAGGUCCAGGGAUCUGGUUUAGCUAAUGUGUCCUAAGGCCUCGAUGUACUGAGCAAGGUGGAUCGGGCUUAGCCGACGUGUUCCAACGGGUUUAUGUUUGUUUAUGAUUUGUUCUCUGACUUGCAUGUGGUUGUGUAGUUACUGUGGUUGAUGACUCAACAUUAGGGGUAUAUCUCGAAUGAGAUUAUACUAUGUAUUUGUCAAAUUUACUAAGAUUUGUUCUUAACCCUUUCCCGUUAAAGUUAAUUUUUUAGGAUCGACAUGUACUCAUGAUAGCAGGGCGUAUAGCGGUACACAAUUGGCUCACGUCGGAUGGAUAGAGUUUUCAUGACACUAGGGAAUUAUAUUUUCUUUGAUUUUUAGAAUUUAUGACUUUCAAAUGGCUUUAGGAAUUACUUUGAUCUUGUAGUUUGGUUUUGAAACUUUUCUUUAACACAAGUUUUGAUUUUGUUUAUAAUUGUGUUCAUUAAAAAAUAAAAAUUUAUUUUAAAAAUUGGGAUGUUACAAUUUUACAUCUGUUUGAUGUUUUGAAAACCUUUUAGGAGUUUGAAUUUGUGUUUCGAAUGUUGACAUUUUCCAAUACCCUUAAGAGUUGACUCCAAGAAUGUUUAGUAACAUUUUCAAGUGUAAUCUACAUAUUUUGACAUGUAUUCAUAUCGAAAGACUCAAUGAGGACCACAUUCAAAUAUAUCUUUUUGGAUAUUUGGACAAUAUUGUAAUUUAGAGUUAUGAAAGUUUUUCCUUUAUCUUUGUUUUUUAUUAGUUUGUUACCCACGGUAAGCCUUGAAAAUUUUUAAAUGUUAAGGGAUUGACUAUUUUUGACCAAUUUUAAUAAAAAAAAAUCGAAAGUGAAAAGAUUGUUGUUUUUCCAAAAUAUUAAAAGUUUUGUUUUCAAAGAACAUUUCAAAUAAAAACCCAUACAAAGGUGUUCUUAUAAAUAUCAUAAAUGAGUGACAAACUAUUUAAAAAGCCACAUAAGAGAGAAUCGAGAUGAGUAAAUUGAAAGUUUAAUCCUCUGGAAGAGGGAUUCGUCAAGAUGUGUCACGUAGAGUUAUCAUCUGAUGGACAAGCACAAUUAUCAUUCGAAAGGGAAUACUUGGACCUCCUUUAUCCGANNNNNNNNNNNNNNNNNNNNNNNNNNNNNNNNNNNNNNNNNNNNNNNNNNNNNNNNNNNNNNNNNNNNNNNNNNNNNNNNNNNNNNNNNNNNNNNNNNNNNNNNNNNNNNNNNNNNNNNNNNNNNNNNNNNNNNNNNNNNNNNNNNNNNNNNNNNNNNNNNNNNNNNNNNNNNNNNNNNNNNNNNNNNNNNNNNNNNNNNNNNNNNNNNNNNNNNNNNNNNNNNNNNNNNNNNNNNNNNNNNNNNNNNNNNNNNNNNNNNNNNNNNNNNNNNNNNNNNNNNNNNNNNNNNNNNNNNNNNNNNNNNNNNNNNNNNNNNNNNNNNNNNNNNNNNNNNNNNNNNNNNNNNNNNNNNNNNNNNNNNNNNNNNNNNNNNNNNNNNNNNNNNNNNNNNNNNNNNNNNNNNNNNNNNNNNNNNNNNNNNNNNNNNNNNNNNNNNNNNNNNNNNNNNNNNNNNNNNNNNNNNNNNNNNNNNNNNNNNNNNNNNNNNNNNNNNNNNNNNNNNNNNNNNNNNNNNNNNNNNNNNNNNNNNNNNNNNNNNNNNNNNNNNNNNNNNNNNNNNNNNNNNNNNNNNNNNNNNNNNNNNNNNNNNNNNNNNNNNNNNNNNNNNNNNNNNNNNNNNNNNNNNNNNNNNNNNNNNNNNNNNNNNNNNNNNNNNNNNNNNNNNNNNNNNNNNNNNNNNNNNNNNNNNNNNNNNNNNNNNNNNNNNNNNNNNNNNNNNNNNNNNNNNNNNNNNNNNNNNNNNNNNNNNNNNNNNNNNNNNNNNNNNNNNNNNNNNNNNNNNNNNNNNNNNNNNNNNNNNNNNNNNNNNNNNNNNNNNNNNNNNNNNNNNNNNNNNNNNNNNNNNNNNNNNNNNNNNNNNNNNNNNNNNNNNNNNNNNNNNNNNNNNNNNNNNNNNNNNNNNNNNNNNNNNNNNNNNNNNNNNNNNNNNNNNNNNNNNNNNNNNNNNNNNNNNNNNNNNNNNNNNNNNNNNNNNNNNNNNNNNNNNNNNNNNNNNNNNNNNNNNNNNNNNNNNNNNNNNNNNNNNNNNNNNNNNNNNNNNNNNNNNNNNNNNNNNNNNNNNNNNNNNNNNNNNNNNNNNNNNNNNNNNNNNNNNNNNNNNNNNNNNNNNNNNNNNNNNNNNNNNNNNNNNNNNNNNNNNNNNNNNUAUAUAGAGAGAGAGAGAGAGAGAGAGAGAGAAAGAGAGAGAGAGAGGUGGGUUCAAUUGAGAAAAUAAAAAGGUUGAGAAUGGGGGAAUCAUUCUCAGCCACUCAUUUAAUCUACGCCUAAAAAGACACGAUGACAAACUUGUAAAUAUGAUAACAACCUUCAAUCUCAAAUACGUAUCUGUAGAGAAUUAGAUUACAGUUCAAACUCAUUCAUCGUUCAUCAUCCAAAUUUCUUCUCCAACCUUCAACAAUCAUCCAGAUUUCUUCAAUUCAGCUUGAAUACGAUCAGAUCUUCAACAUCUACGAUUAAUUAUACUCCCAGCAUCAUUAGAUCAACAUCAUCAAUAAUCAACAAAAAAUCCACUUCAUAUCAUUCAUUCAACAUCGAUUAUCAAAUAAAACUUAAAAAUUGAGGUUAGAAAAAGAUCAAAUCGUUUUUAUUUUUGAAAAAUUUCAUAUAAUUCUCUAUCAAUCUACUAUUUUGUAAGAUUUAAAUAGUCAAAGUAUCAUGUUUUUAACAUUUUUAAAAAAGAUAAAUUGUAUGCACUCCAACUGUUUGAUGAAAUGCAUAAACUAAAUUAUCACGUUAUAUUCAUAUAUGAAUAUGUUUAGUGUUCUAAAACUCACCGAGUUGGCCGAUUACUCCUCCGAGUACUCGCUACUCCCCCCUUGCUAAGGCGACUUACAUAAUCCCGAGUACUCCCUGAUCGGCCCCUUACGAACUGAGUAGUGUUGUGAAAUUCGGUCAACUCGGUGAUAAUAUACUUAAUGAUUCAUUAUUUAACACACACAUGUGAUUAUUACUACAUAUAAAUCUUAAAUUUUCAGUAAUUAUUCACGAAGUGAGACCAUUAUGUGUUUUUCAUUUUUUGUGUAUUAUUAUGUAUCCAAUUUUGUUAUAUAUUUCAAUCAACUUAUGAUUUUGACAUAUAUAAUUUCCCUAAAAAUAUUUCUACACAAAAUUUAAAAUCCGAGUACUCCCCGAGUACCCGAGUACUCGCUACUCGGUAGUCGGCCGAACAGUUACCGACUAACGAGUUCCACAACCUUGAAUAUGUUUUCUCACCUGAAUCAGUAUAUGAUUAUCAAAACAAAAAAAACAAAUAUGCAAGUCUGUAUGUUAUUCAUAUGUGAAUAAAAUAUAAAAAUUAUAUAUAUUUGUGAAAAUACCUUGUAAUAUUCAUAUAUGAAUAUACUGUGUAAUAUUCAUAAGUGAAUAUAUCAUAUAGUAUUCACAAGUGAAUAUAUUAUGUAAUAUUCACAUGUGAUAUACCAUGUAAUACUAUGUAAUAUUCAUAUAUGAAAAUAUUAUCUAAUAAUCAUAAGUGAAUGUAUCAUCUAAUAUUCACAAGUGAAUAAACUAUGUAAUAUUCACAAGUGAAUGCAUAGUCUAAUAUUUAAAUAUGAAUAUACUAUGUUUAUUAUAUGCUAUAUUCAUAUAGGAAUGAUACUUAAAUUGUAAAAAAAAAAAUUAAUCAUAUUUUUUAUUCAUAAGUGAAUAACGAAUGUACUGUAGAAAAAUCUGGUUCAUUUUUAUUCACUUAUAAAUAACGAUAACUGAAAAUAUAAAAAAAAAAUUAUUUUAUCUUAAAACUAUAUCAAUAUGGAUGUCUAUUUGUAGAGAAUAAAAAAUCAUGAAUUUUGGAAUAUUUAAAAUCAUUUUUCGAUAAAAAUAGCUUGUUAAAAAUNNNNNNNNNNNNNNNNNNNNNNNNNNNNNNNNNNNNNNNNNNNNNNNNNNNNNNNNNNNNNNNNNNNNNNNNNNNNNNNNNNNNNNNNNNNNNNNNNNNNNNNNNNNNNNNNNNNNNNNNNNNNNNNNNNNNNNNNNNNNNNNNNNNNNNNNNNNNNNNNNNNNNNNNNNNNNNNNNNNNNNNNNNNNNNNNNNNNNNNNNNNNNNNNNNNNNNNNNNNNNNNNNNNNNUAUAUAUAUAUAAAAAUAUCCACUCUGUGUGUACGGUUCACGCCGGCACCUUCCCACGGUCCUCGCUAGUACCUGAAACACAUAACACAACAACUGUAAGCAUAAAUGUUUAGUGAGUUCUCCAAAAUACCACAUACAACACAUACGCCACUCGAGGCUAUAGCACGAACCUCCGGUCGUUGUGUCACAGCGGGACCCUCUAGUCCUGUAGCUCAUUGUAUCCUCUGGUCCGGUCAUAGCUCGUUGGGCCCUCUGGCCUAGUCUGUAAUGUUGGACCCUCCGGUCCGGUCUGUAUCGUUGGACCCUCCGAUCCGUUCUAUAAAAUCAUACAACAUACAUAUAUCACAUAGCAAAUAAUCUCAUACUUAGCACAUAAGACCCUCUGGUCAACACAUAAUACCACUCUAGGUAACGUAUAGUGAGAAAACUCACCUCGGAUGUCUCAGUAAAUCUCUAACUCGGUAGAAAUAGGGUCUAGCCUCCGCCUAAUCACAUAAAGGAAAUACUCUCAUAAAUAUAAUCCUCGAGACUAGACUCAACCCUCUCUUAGCACCCUUAGAAGGGUAAAAGACCAUUUUACCCCUCUCUUGACACAAAGGCCCCAUUGUUGACAAAACCCUAAAAGUCAACAAAAGUCAACGGUUAAAAUUUGACCCGACUCGUCGAGUUCAUACGAGUGACUCGGCGAGUCCAUGUGAGUUCUCUGAAACCUUUUAAACAUCUCAUACACGACGAGUUCCCUCUUCACUCGUCGAGUUACUCGGCAACGAAUCGCGAGGCAACCCCGACUCGACUCGUCGAGUCUACUUAUAGACUCGGCGAGUUGCUCCCAUGACAACAUUCAUCUGAACAUCUGAGGUCAGAUCUGCUCCUCCAAUCCAUAGAUCUAGCUUCCCUAUAGCCCAUAAUCUCAUAAAAGUUGAAUCUUGGGCCCUCAUGCAAGGUCCACUAUGCUCAUUUGAGUGAAAUCCCUCAUUUCAUGACAACUCUAGCUCAUUACCCCAAGGGGAAGGCAUAAAGCCGAUUGGAAGGGAUCCUCUGGACCUCUUACGGUCCAGAUCUAUGAAUCAUUUCACCAUGCGACCUCUCUUACUCUAGAUCCAAGCUAAAUAAAGCAUAAAGAAACCUUAAAUUGAACCAUAACAACAAAAUACAAGAAUAGACUCGAGUUUAUACCUCAAAGAUGAUGAUUCAAGCUGAAAGCUCUCUGGAAUGAAGUCCUCUUGCCCCCUUUUUGCUGGAAACCCUUUCCUCCUUAGCUAAAUCACACCACAAAUGAGCAAGGAGCUCUAAUUCUCUCACAACGCGCUUAAGAUCGAAAGGGAUACUCUCUUUGGACAGAUAGCCGCAAAUGGAGGCUAUAAAGCCCUUUAAAUAGGGCUCAGACACUGAGAAGUAGGGCUUCAUAAAACAACGCGGACUCGCCGAAUCCACUAGUCGACUCGCCGAGUCCGGUCAUUAACUCAGAUGGAGAAUCGCGACUCUACUCGGCGAGUCUAAGUGUCAACUCGUCGAGUCCCUCUUAAAAUCUCCAAAAUAAAUAAAUAAAUAAUGUACCUGGAAAUCCGGAUGUUACAGUAUAUAAAUAUAUAUAUANNNNNNNNNNNNNNNNNNNNNNNNNNNNNNNNNNNNNNNNNNNNNNNNNNNNNNNNNNNNNNNNNNNNUAUAUAUAUAUGGAAAAGUGAAUAUUUAGCUGUCAUGUAUUUAAUAUUAGGUAUAGAACCAUGAAAAUUGACUUCAUUUUGAUUAAAAAAAACAUAAUUUUUUUCAUUGUUAGUUUAUUCCUAUUGCUUUUGAGUUCAUAUUAUUUCUUAUUUAAUAAUUUAUCCUCAACAUCUAUGUAUUUUGAAUGUGUUGUUUAUAUUAUUAGAACUCUAGAAGGCUACAUAACUUUCUUUGACACCUACCAUAUAUACACUUGCAUGGUUCUUUUUGAUGUAUUAUGGAAAGAAGUUUAUUGGGUUUUUAAUGAAAAUUUUCAAUCUUUCACUAUAGUUUUCUAUAUUAAAUUUGAAUAUUAAGGCUUAUAUGUAGUUGAUAAUGUAUUGUUAUACAUGGUUUGUGGUGCAAAAUUAAAUAUUUAAAACUCCAUAAAAAUAUGUACAAAUCAUAUCAUCUAGUCUAAUAGAGGAUACANAUAUAUAUAUAUAGGUUCCUUUGAUAUUAAUAAAAAAUUAGAGAUUGUAAAAUAGGUGGAUAGCCUUUUGAUGUUAUGAUCUUUAAUUGUAAAAUCUGGUGGUAGGGUAAUUGUAAAUACAUAGGUAACUAUUCAAAUUAAUGUCGUUAGUAACUAUUGUAUGACUAGUAUUGUAAUUUUAGAAGGAAUCAUAUCAGGUGUGCGUAGAUGAUACAAUACUAUAACCGUAUAUACUUUUUUUUUUCCUUUCUCGAUCAAAAUCUCACUAAAAAACUCUCACGAAAACCCUUUUUUUCUUUCUUUAUCGCAUUUUGCCUUAGUUUUCGUUUGUUAGUUGUGCAAAUUAAAUUUGAAAAAUCAGUAAAUUUUUUAGGAGAAAAUCUAAACGAGGUCACAUCUUCGUUAAUCGAAAUGAAAGGUUAGAAUGCGAGUAAUUUUUCAUUUUAUUGAUAAUGCAUGUUUGUUUUAAUUAGUUAACUAUAGUUUUAUAUAUAAAAUAAGAAAAAGUUAUUAGGUUAUAGUUAAUUGUAUGAAUUAAAAAGGAAUGGAAAUGUUAUAUAAUGGAUAUAAGAUUUAUAUUUCAAGAAUGAAUUAACAUUAAAUAUAUAGUAGAAAUAUAUAAUUAGUAAAGAAAUAACAAAUAUUUAAACUAAAACAAAAUUAAGAUGGUCAAAUGAAAUAUGAUUAAAAAACCAGGGGUUGGAUGUAUUCAAAAUAAAAAUAUAUUGACCAUUAAGGAUAUAUUCACUAAGUAUAUAUAUUAAAUGAUCAACAAAUAUAAACAAAUAAGAUAUGUGUUCCAAUAAUUUUAAAUAGUCAAUAAAAUUAAAGCAAAUAAAAUAAGCUAUAAAAAGAAUUUCAUUGCAAAUACUCUAAAAAAAGAGUUAUUUACAAAUUUUUAUAAGUAUUGUUAUUUAUUAAAAAUAUAUAUUUACGAAACAAACAAUAACGAUAUAAAAAAACAAAAGUAAUAAUUAUUUUAUUUGUCAUUACUAUCUAAUUUCAAACAAAAUUUACAAACCGUAUAAAAUUUUGACACAUUCCAUUUUUAUCAGUGGAGUUUAUGCAAAUUAAAAAUUCUUGAUAUUCCAUAUUUAUUUUAAAAUAAAUGAUCUCAAUUGCUCUGAAAUCAUCUUAAUUAUGAAUACUUAAAGUCCUUUUGUCUUGUAAAAUGAUCCAUCCUUACAAAUUUAUUUUACGAAAAACUUAUAACCUAUACGAAAUUCAUGUCAUUUUCAAUAAAAUUAUAAAAUAAAGUUAUUAUUUGAAUAAUAUAAUGGAAUGCCAACCAAUCAAGGGAAGCUAGUGGUAAGCAAUUGACGAUUUCCAUCUAUAAAUACCCUACGCACUUCGCAUAUCUUCACACAAAACAAAUUGGGUUACAACACUUUCUACUUGUAAGAAACCAAAGCAUUUAAAAAUGGCUUCAAGAGCUUUGGCAACAACAGCUUUUCUCCUUACCUUCAAUCUUCUUUUUUUCACUUUGGUAACAUCCACUCAUACCCCAAAAGGCUGCCCACCACCGCCACCAUCGUCGUGCCCACCGUCACCGAAACCUCCAACACCUUCACCGAAACCUCCAACUCCUUUACUCCCUCCCAAAGCAAGUUGCCCAAAAGACACUCUCAAAUUGGGUGUUUGUGCUAAAUUGCUCAAUGACCUUGUCCACCUGGUCGUCGGAACCCCACCAAAGACACCAUGUUGUACCCUAAUCCAAGGCCUCGCCGAUCUUGAGGCUGCAGUAUGUCUUUGCACUGCAAUUAAAGCUAAUGUCUUGGGAAUCCACCUCAAUGUUCCGGUCUCUUUGAGCCUGUUGCUUAACUAUUGUGGAAAGAAAGUUCCCUCCGGCUUCCAAUGCGCAUAGAUAUGCAUCUUUUCAAUUUAUGGAAGUUUAAUACUAUAGUGUGUUGUAUUUAAUUUGGAAGACGGUUGAUUAUGAUCGAUAUGAUGUAAAGAAUCAUAUGACAUGUGAUUCAACAAUAAAUUUUUCCCUACUAUUAUGUAAUGUUAAUGAUUUUUAUAGAAUCUUAAAUCCUAUAAACUUGUAACUUAAAAAUAAAAGUAAUCGCGUACUGUGAUUUCAAAAUAAAAAAAAUAAUAAAAAAAAACUAAAAUUUUUGUGAAAUGUGCACAUAUAUGUCGCCCUCGGGGGAUGGUGCCAACCGGUGGUUCGUGUUUAGUGUACGGUUCAUAAAUGCCUCAUGGUGGUGGACUAUUCAGUGAUAGGUUGAAAUCCUCAAGACCGGUACUCGUGUACUGCUGAAUAACUAGUACUGACACCAUUGUUGCAAAAUCUAACGAUCCUAAGAAGUCACUUACUGCUCCUAAUUAUGGGCAUUUACUCCGUUCAGUUAACCUGAAGGUCAAAGUCAAAAAUGUCCCUUGACCCGUCCUGAAAAUAAAGAAAUCAUGAAUGUUACCGACUGGUCGUAUCGCCCCCAUUGUUUCCUCGUUGUUGGACGCUAUUGUUUUUGUGUACACAACCCGAUUCUUCAUUUUCAAUUAAUGCUCUAUCUGGUGUAUAAACUAAUCGUUGAUGUGUCAAACAUACUUCAGGCUGAUCAUCAUCAACAUCUGGUACACUAUCAUGCACUUAGCUAGCGUCAACAUGCGUUUCUUGUGCACAAAAGAGUCAGAUGUGCAAUCUUAGAGAUAGUUUCAUUUUAUUGACUUCUUUUUAUAAUUUAUUUUUAAAUAUUUUAUUUUAUUUUUAGUUAAUCUUCAUGCAUAUUUUCCUUUCAUUAUUUUAUAUUUAUAUCAGAUACUUUUUAGUUUUGAGAUUUAUUGCAAAUAUUUAGAGGAAUUGAGCAGAGCGUAGAGGGUGUGACAUCCCCAAUUUUUAUGAUGAGAAAUUACCAAUUUGUUUAUAAAUAUUUAAAAAUCAGAGUAUCAUUUUUGAAGAAUAAUAUUGCGGAAUUUGUUCCCAGAAAACAUGAUAAUGAUAUUAUCAAAUCAUUUUUGAAGAAAUGUAUUUUAUUUAUAUUAAAACAUUGAGAUGUCAUCGUCAAUACAAAAUCAUAAACAUAACGAAUUAUUACAAGCCUUACAGUAAUUAAACUAGUGACCUAAUACUCCUUGAAUCUCUCAGCAGAAUGUAUCUUUCAAAUAGCAACUUGUUAUACAAUAAAAUGAGUAGGUCAGGUUGGGAAACCUGAUGAGUACAUAGGGAUUUCAAUCCCACAACGUGAUAAUAAUGUAUAUCUUAAACCUGCAACACCAACUAUUAUCAAUAACACUGAUAUAUCAUAACUCUAAAAGAAUUUAUCCCAUCCCAUCAAUUCCUAUUUACUGAUCCUAUACAAUGAUCUUACAAGAUCUAGCCUAAAGUAUUAAUAUGAACAACGAACUAACAACGCUGCUUUAGAAAUUCCCUGGCAGCAAACUAGGAUCAAUAUAUACAUCAAAUGAGGGGAAUGAAAUAAGUUUCACUAUGAACAUCCGUUUGUAAAAACAAUAAGACAAUUAAGUCAGAGGUGGAUAUCUAGAUAAUUGUGCCUAGCAGUGGUCUGCCACCGUCAGGUAUUUUACCCCCAAAAUCACCCUAUCCGGCAAUAUAACGUCAUACGUACCUAGUAGUGGUCUAUUACUGACAAACUCUAUUAAGCAGACUAUGAAGUUCCCUCAAUUACUUCGUGAAAGGAAACGCUGACACACAAAGCUCAUCAAAAGAAAAAGUAUGGGGAAAUACUAAUAAAGUACUCACGUACGUUGCCGUACUCCGACAGAUAAUAGUGUCAAAAAGGACUUUGUACAUAAUAGUACUUUUGGCACAUUAUAGUACCCUAGUAUGAGUAGGACUCGUACCCCAGAACAUAAUAAUACCCCGACACAAGCAGCACCUGAGAUAUAGAGCUUUGAAAAAGACUUGGUGCAUAGAAAGUACUUUUGUACUUUGGAAAUACUCCAUCAGUCAUCAAUCUCCUCGAACAUAGUUUCUACUCUCUAUUGCGAUCACACACGUACCAUUAGUAAUAUGCUACUUAAUAUCCAAACUUAAUUGAACUAAGCAUCUCUUUUAAGUCUUAUUUUAUCACUAGGCAAACCUACAAUGCUUAUAAUCAUCAUUCAAUACCAACCCUGUUUCAGCAACACUAUCCUAAUUUAGUGUUAUAUUUUAUACAGAGUAUCAAGUAUUAACAUACAUUUAUCUUCUCAUUUAUAAUACUUCUAUUAUUAUUAUCAUGUAAACAAAUCUCAGCAUAUGUAGAACCAUGUCUAGUUCACAUAGCAUAUAUCAUCAAAUAUACAUAAAACACAUAUUUCCAGAUAAUAACUAUAUAACUCACAUAUAAACUUUCAACAUAUAUUUAAUACUUUAAUACUUGUAUUAAAAUCAUAUUCAUGAAAGUGACUAUGCACUCACUUGUUAAAGUGACGAUUCGAAAUUCGGGCAACGCUUCGCUUCUACCAAAUUUCUUUUCCUUUGACGAAACCUAGUAUCAUUAUCACUAAGUUUUAGUCUAAUAUUUACUGCAACUAAUUAUUAUUCUUGAUUCAUCGUUAACUCAAAGUCUACUUCGAGAUCUAUCAAGUAUGGAACAACUAGGUAGGAUCAUAUUGGUGGUAUGGUCCGUUUGGUAUAAGAUGUAUACUAUUUGGAAAUCUCACUUUAAACACCUCAAUAAAUCCAACCUACACAUCAUCCCCGUAAGUAGAUCUGAUGGGAUUAAAACAACUUUUAAUCUAUGAAGAUCGAUUAGAUCUUGAACAAGUAUAUGAAUAUGAAACAGUAAAAACGCAAUAAUAAGAACAAACAGCUUGAAUCAAACGUGUCGAAUGAUUAAAUAAAAUCCUUAGAAGAGCUCGAUUAAGAACAUCAACUGUAAAGGAUUAGAAGAUUACAAGAACGAUUACAGAAAAAUAAAGUACUCUUGAUCAAUCGCUAUUUCGAUAAUCUCUCGAAUCUUAACCUAAUAUGCAUGCAAGCAUUUAACUUAUAUACAAUACAUAAAAGGCUCUCGGUUGGACAGGCCCAAACCGGAGAAUACAAGGCUAAUCAACGAGCCCAAAAGACGCAACAUCAAAACUAUCUACAGCCCAACAAUCUCCCCCUUUGCGUCAAUUUGGAGCGAGACCUUCACUUCUUACUUGGGCCGGCAGCUGAAGCUGGUACCUUCUUCUUCACGGUGUUAAACAGACACUUGGUUAUGGAGAGGAUGGUCUGUCUAAACCGGAUGUACCAAUUGAUCAUAUCAUUGAAGUACUUGAUGUCAUCAGCCGAAUUGUCUUUACACCGCUUGAUGAUUGAUAAGACGUGCUCCAAGCAAGUUGUGGUGUAAAGAUGUUUGUCAGCUAAAGCGAAGAGACAUUUCUGUCCUUCGGCUCUAGUGAACAUCACAGAGUUUCGCCUCGGAUCUAUCUUGCCCAUUUGCAUUUGAUUUAGAUCACUGGCCGAUCCCACAGGUGCGACUUUCGGUUUCUUCUUAAAAACUGUGGCGACCUCCUGAUCCAUUAGGGCAACCUCCAUGAUAUAGCAUGCCAGCAUCCUUUUGACAUGGUCUAUGAUGGGACCAUAUUCAGAUUCAUUUGUCAGCAGGAUAUUGUACAAGACUAUCCAAUCAUGAGGAUUCAGAUUGGGCAGAUCCGCCAGGGAGAUGAUGUGGGCAGUUCUUGCAGAUCCUCGGAUGAGCUUGAACUUAACGUUUGUGAAUCUCCCCACGGCAUAAGGCUUCAGCACCCGAACAUUAACAAUCUUCUGGGCGCUCCAUGUAAGGUAUUGAGGGCGAGCGGCCUCCAGGUAGAAGUCAAUGAGCUCCCUGUCAAGCUCAUCGUUCGGAUGCGGGACUUCAAAAAUGUUAGAGAAGGCGUGGAAGAUGAACGCCUUUCGAGUCAGCGGCAUAUCAAACUGCGAAUCGAUAGAGUUGUUGCAGUCGAAUGAUAUCACCGGCUCGAGCCAUAGUAUGCUUGGAGUCUCUAUGGCCUCUUUUAUCAUACGAUCCCUGGUCCAGGCAGGGAAGAGCAACUUUCGGCUCUCAAGGAGAUCGUGGGCUUCUUUUUGCUUUCGUUCGGCUUCUUCAGCCUCACGCGCCACACGACUGGCAUCGUCUUCAGCAUUGCGACUGUUCUUUCUUUUUAACAUGUCCGCAAUGGUCUCCUUGUCUUCAUCUUCAUCUUCAUCUCCUCCCUCAGCUAUGUUUUUGCCCUUGUUCUUCACACCCGAACCCGAGGCAUGACCAGUUGGGGGUGGUUCGGUUGUGUGAGUAGCUUUGGAGGAAGGAGGUGGUUUCGAUCCUUUCUUCUCAUCUCCCCCUUGUUUCGGAAUGGACACGAAACUCGGUAGGCCUUCAAUUUUGCUUAAAAGGUCCAUGGCCGGAGAGAGUUUUUCAGCGAGGGUACGCCUCACUGAGUGGUUAAGGAUGGGGUCGUGUGCUUCCAGGAUGUUUGAUAGAGCUGCGUGGACAUCCGAAACACACGUCUUUAUGACCUCCCUCUCGGAUCGAAGAGCUUCCAAUUGUUGCUGGGAGUUGGAAAGCUGCGUGCUCUUGACCUUAAGGGCGGUAGUCUUAUUCGCCAAGACGUCCAUCAGAGAAUUUUCUGCCGCAAGAUCCUCUUGUAGCUUUGCCAGGCGGGCAUCGAUGGAGGCACGAAGUGCCGAGUUGUCGUCGCUAAGAUGUUGUCUGAGAGUAGCGAACGAAGACAGCUCCGUCGAGACAAACUUGGCCAAUUGUUGAACAACUGGUUCCAGAGUUGUCUUAGUGGCUUCGGCGCUCUCCUGCAAAGACUGCAGCAGGACAGAAGCGUCAUUGAAUAGUUUAUCGACUUUUUCGGUCGCUGCCUCACAGGCUCGGGUGGAGGCGUCGAUAGCAGCAGUUGCUGAGGCCACGGAAUCAUGUUGAGCCCUGGAGAAGGCGUCAACGAUCUUCUGAAGGGCAGCUUCAGACAAAGAUGACUGCUGGUUGGAAGAGGAGGCGAGAAGUUGAUCAACCUUCUCGUUAAGCUCGCGAAGAUGCUUCCGUGUCACUGGAGCAUCAUCCUCCUCAUCACUCUGAACUUGAAACGGACUAUAGUAGACCGAAUCGAAGUUCAUGUGAUCACCACCAAGGUAUUGAUCACCGCCAUCGGAGGCGUCUUCUGGAGAUUGAGGUGGUGGUGAAGCUGGGGGUGUUAUUGGUUUGGUUGGUUCAGGUUGAGUGGGUGGGGGGUUAGUUUCGGGUGGUGGUUGUGUAUGGGUUUCGGUUUGUGGAGGUUCGGUUACAGGAGGGGUUUCGGUUACAGGUGGUGUUUCGGUUGAUGUGGUGAAUAUGGGUGGAGGUAUAGGGAAUGAGGUUGGGGGAAUAGUGGGGUUUAUGGUGGGAAUGGAAAUAGGAAUUGUGGGUGGAGGUGAAGGAACUGGGGAUUGAUGAAGUUCCAUCUCUGGGGUUGGGGACCGAGGUGGUGUGUUGCCUCGUUGAGGAGAUUCGUCUCCUUGUGAUCCCUCAGAGUCCGAACUCCCACCUUCGGAUUCGCUUGAAGAGGAGGGAAUGACGAGCUUUCGCUUCUGUUGGGUCUUCCUCCUUUUCGGUUGUGGGGAUGAAGCAGCCUUCGGUUGUUUUCGCUUCUUGGGUGAAGGUCCCUUUGGAGCCUUGGACACUUGCUUUCCCUUCUCUGACUUUUUACCCCUGACUACCGGUUUGUCGGCAUCAUGAAUCGAGCGCAGCAUGUCCGGUGUCAGUUCCCUCGGACCAGAUGGCCCUAACUCCUUGAUCGCCUUGAUCAUACUGCUGUCUGAAGGCACACUUCCAUACAUAGUCUCCGGGAUGGAGCCAAUGAAGGAGAAUUUUGAUGCAUCCGAGACGAUGAUCUUCUUGGUAUGGAACGUACCAAUAGAAGACAUCGNGCUGUUGGAACGUCGAACUUGUCCAUGGCCCAUCUUGUGAUCAAGAUCCAGAACCAGGCCAGCGACACCUCGGAGUGUCGGGAAGAGGAAGAGAGGCUCUGAAUCAACUGUUGCCAAAGGACAAACCCAUAGUCUAUGUUUAUCCCAUUGUACACUCCGUACAUUAUCGAGAGGAAAAGACGACUUGCACCGUCAGAUCCUGAGCUCCUCUCUGACAGUCCCUUGAAGAGAACUAUAAAUAACCCAUUCCACUGGGGCGGUAGGCAGGACUUCUUAAACCUGGCGACGGAGGUGAGAACCUCUGUGUAGCCCAUGUUGUAGAACAUGCUGUACAACAUCCCAACCGGAAUCGUCUCCGGGUGAACUCGCGAUGAGUCAGCGGCAAACCCUAACAAAGUGCAGAAAUGUGGGCGAGAAAUUGAAGUUUUGUGUUCUGCUACUUCAAAGAAUACCCGGUCGACGACCUUGUCGUAGUAAGCCGUCGCAUAGACCUGAGAUAAGGCCACCAUCGGCACCGUUUCAAUUCUCGACAGUGCAGGAGCAAGCUGGGAGUACUUGAGGCAUUCUAUGACCGGCGACAUGUAGGGAUUAUACGCCACUGGGUUCAGAUCGAUGACUAGGCAUUGUUGGGGUCGGAUGGGAAGAAUUUGGGAAGUUGCAUGAACAGAUGAAGAUUCAGCCAUUGUUGCAGGUUUGGAGAAGAAGAAGAACGGGAGAGUGUUUGGGAGUAUUUUUCCUUUGGGAAUUAUGGGGGCAGUAAAGAGGUAAAAGGUGUUGUUGAUGGCUUUUUAUAGUUGGUGAGGAGAGAGAAAAAUCGUUUCAAAUCUCUUAUGGAAAUAUGAAACGGGUUUUUGAGUGACUGAUUGGUGACAGUUGGGGCGUGCGAUGAUCACGUAGGAGAGAGAGUGUCAGAUUCCUAGGAUUACGCCGCCCAAUAAGCGCCGGUUCAGAGAAAGGAACCGUUUCCAUUUCCACACGCGCCUCUUUUGCCAGAUUGAUGACGCUUCAUUAUCGCACACGCGUCCUUUAAGUGUCAGAAAAAGCGCGGUCGUUUCAAAUUCACGCGCCCUCCUUUUUACCGUCGUUUGAAUUUCUAUCCAUUUAACUCCCGCCGAGUCAACAACUUUUUGUCUUUUCCCCUUUUAAACGGGUGUUUUCAAUUAUUGACCCACGUGGCUAAUUUUUUGACCACAACUUCAAUAGUAACCCUUCAGUAAUAAUCCAGCCUGUAAAAUAAUUAGUAACGGAAUUUUUGAAAAUCUAGGAUUUUCGUGCAAAGAGUGUAAAAGAAAAAGAAAUAAAGCAACUCUUUUUAGGAUAAUCUGUGAUGUCCAUAAAGACACGAAACUGAUGAUCCCGGGCACGAAUCUCUUCCUUCAAGGUCAAGAAAGACCUCAAAGUGUUAGUGUGGAAUCCCGUUGAAUUACGAUCAAACACUUAUUAAUAAAUGUUGAAAGGCUUCUUUUAAUUAGGCUAAUUAAGGGUGGUUUCGCUUUGAUGCAUCAAUUCAAUUCUUGAUAUAAGAACGAAAGAGAACAAAGUACUUGUGAGACCGGUGUAGUCUGUUGAACAAGUAGGUAGGAGUUGAUUUUAUAGUGGCUUGGAUUAAUAUGAAAUCUCAGAUAAAAAAUGUAAAACUGGAUCCCUUGGGAAGAAAUGUUAUGGUGUGUAACAAUUUCAUUGGAAUCACGCAAAAGAAAAUUUGAGAUUCCAUGAAGGUACAUUCGUCAAUUCAUUGGUGAAAACUUGAUCAAAUUAAUUGGUCACCGUCAAUUCGUUGGUGUUGAAUUUUGGGUUUCACUCAGCUCGUAGUGGCACGAAACUAAGAUCAUAAACACAGAUGUUGUGUAACCAUAAACCUCAGUGGUAGUUUCUGAGAGUCUCAAGGGUUACAAUGAUGAAACGAAUGUAAUGGAGAAGUGUAAUGGGGAUGGUGAAAGAAAACAUAGUACCUCUGCUGCGAAAAUAAGGACCAAGCAGGAGACUCUUAACUCAUGUGAGAAGAGAGUGAGGUAGCUCACGAUUAGAAUAAAUGAGUUAGCCUUAUUGGGAAGACAAGGUUUGUGUAUACCAGGUCAUGAAGGCUAUUAUUCAAAAUCUUAUGAGGCUUGGGACACAUACAGCAGCAUGCUUCUAGGGACACUUAAGUAAUUUAUCAAAUAUAUCCCCAUGAACGAACGAGCACACAAAGAAAAAUUAAAUAAAGUAUUUUUUUGGAGUAUUUGAAAUUUAUAAUAAAAGAAAAAAAAUUGUAGAAAAAAAAAAUAAGAGUUAAAAUAAAAUAAAGACUUAAAAAAAACUCUGGAAAACCGAAUCCGAACCUUCGGUUAGUUUCGGUUCAAGAAAUUUUGGAAAACCGAACCCGAACCUUCGGUUGGUUUCGGUUCCGCAAAAUGUUGAAAAACCAAACCCGAACCUUCGUUUGGUUUCGGUUCCACAAAAUUUUGAAAAACCGAACCCGAACCUUCGGUAGGUUUCGGUUUUGGAAAAUUUUGAGAAACUAAGAAUUUUAGAUAUACAAGUAAUAAAUACUGUUAACAUAAAGAAAAACAAGAUAGUACAUGUAAUAUACAACUCAGAAAAACUACCUUUGAAGUAAUGAGCGAGUUAGAUGGUUGAACCGAACCCGAACGUUCGGUUGGUUUCGCUUCUUACGUCUGAGGUUGAGAGGUAGUGUGAGGUACUGACUCAGAUUCCAUCAUUCCUAGCCCUUGCAAUAUUUUAUUGAAUGAAGCUUCUGGAAGAGCUUUGGUAAAGACGUCAGCCAGUUGAUCAGUGGUUCUUACGAAGUGAACUUCGACAUUUCCAUCUUCCACAUGAUCUUUGAUGAAGUGAUACCUCAGUGCUAUGUGUUUGGUUUUAGAGUGUUGCACUGGGUUAUGACAGAUCCUAAUUGCACUUUCAGAGUCACAAUAUAGUGGGAUCUUCUUCAUAUUGAGUCCAUAGUCUCGAAGUUGACUCUGGAUCCAAAUCACUUGUGAUGUGCAGGAUGCAACAGUAAUGUAUUCCGCUUCGGCAGUAGACAGCGACACACAUGUUUGUUUCUUGGAUUGCCAGCUGACCAACUUCCCAUCAAGAAAUUGACAGCCACCAGUUGUGCUUUUGCGGUCGAGUCCACAUCCUCCAAGGUCAGCAUCAGAAUAGGCUUGAACGAAGAAGCCAGAGUUGGAUGGAUACCAUAGACCUAAGGAGGCGGUUCGCUUGAGAUAGCGUAGGAUGUUCUUCACUGCCAGCAUGUGAGGUUCGCGUGGGUUAGCCUGAAAUCGAGCACAAUAACAUACAGAAAACAUGAUAUCAGGCCUGCUAGCAGUUAGAUACAUCAGUGAGCCUAUCAUUUGACGAUAGAGCGUGAUGUCGACAGCCGGUUUAUCUAGUGAAGGGGUAAGUUUGGUGCCGAAUGCCAUUGGGACUUUGACUUUUGAGUCUCCCAUCAUGCCAAACUUUGCUAGGAGAGUCUUCGUGUAAGCUUCCUGAUUGAUAAAGAUGCCUUCGGGUCCCUGUCUUAUAUUUAAACCAAGGAAAAAAUUAAUAGGACCCAUUGAGCUCAUUUCAAACUUAGUCUCCAUCAACUUUCUGAAUUCAGCUGUUAAGCUGGGAUUCGUAGAGCCAAAGAUGAUGUCAUCGACAUAAAUUUGAACUAUCAUAAGGUGGUUACCUUCCUUUUUGCGAAAGAAGGUUGGGUCAACCGAACCUUGUUUGAAUUUGGACAUCUUUAAAAAUUUUGUAAGCGUUUCAUACCAGGCUCUCGGAGCUUGUUUGAGGCCGUACACAGCUUUAUCCAGAAUGUAGCAAUGAUUUGGAUACUUUUCGUUCACGAACCCAGGAGGUUGCUCCACAUACACCGUUUCUUCAAGUUCUCCAUUGAGAAAUGCGCACUUGACGUCCAUUUGGAAGACCUCAAAGUUUUUGUGAGCAGCAUAGGCCAGAAAUAUUCUAACCGAUUCUAGCCUAGCUACUGGAGCGAACGUCUCUUCGUAAUCUAUCCCUUCCUCCUGACAGUAUCCUUUGACAACCAGACGAGCCUUGUUCCUUAUGACAUUACCUUCCUUGUCCAUUUUGUUUCUAAAAACCCAUUUGAGACCAACAACUGAAGCAUCCGGAGGAGUUGGAAUGAGGCGCCAGACUUUGUUCCUUUCAAACUCGUUUAGUUCGUCUUGCAUUGCUUGAACCCAAUCAGAGUGAUCGAGGGCAGUGUUCACUGUCUUCGGUUCGACUUUUGAUACAAAUGAGUUAAACAUACAAAACUCAACUUUUGAGAAUAAGGAUGUCUGUUUUGCCUUCAGUUGAGAUCGGGUCAGAACCUUUUCAGAUACAUCACCAACUACUUGAGAGAUAGGAUGAUCUCUGGUCCAUUUUGUAAGAGGAGGGUAAUUCGGAUCAAAGGAUGGAUCUAGUUCAGCGUUGAUCAUCUCUUCAGGCUCAGAUUGGCUAUCAAAAUCAAGCGUCAUAUCAUCAUGCUCCCCCUCAAUUGAUGAGUCUUGACAAACAUGAGGUUCAGGGGUUUCUUGUGGUGCUGGAUUUUCAGGCAUUGAAGCACCUUCGUUUGGAGGGGCAUCUUCGGUUGGAGAGUUACCUUCGGUUGAUGAAGGACCUUCGGUUGAAGUAGUAGAGCUUGGCUCCCCCUGGACUUGUGAGCUAGGCUCCCCCUCGACAAGAGAACUUGGCUCCCCCUCGACUGAAGCAUUGUUGGUUGGAGAUUCAUCAGUAGGCGAUUCUCCUUCAUGCAUUCUUCUUGCAGCAUCUUCGACAAUCUUCUUCAUAUGAUCUAUUUUGUUGUCGGCUGCCCCUGCUUCUGAGAGAGAAGCUUUUUCCGGUUCAUCAAAGAGAUCCAGAAAAUUCUCGUACAUAUUGGCGAUUGAGACUGUGACUUGACCAGUUUGAGGGAAGAUUUCCCUGGCAGUGUCAUCUAUGGCCUGUAGCUUCUUGACAUAGCUAUCGUCGAAGGUCACAUAGUAUGUUUCUUCAAUCCUUCUUGAUCGUUUGUUUAGGACCCUGUACGCCUUUGAAGUGAGUGAGUAACCCAGAAAGAUUCCCUCGUCGGCUUUGACAUCAAACUUGUUGCGGUGUUCUUUAGAGUUAAAGAUGAAACACCUUGAGCCAAAAACGUGGAAAAAUUUCACAUUGGGCUUCCUGUUGUUUAAUAUCUCAUAUGGUGUGAGCGUGAAUCGCUUGUUGAGAUAGGACCUGUUUUGUGUAUAACAAGCAGCAGAAAUAGCGUCAGCCCAAAAAUAAAGAGGUAAGGAAGCGAAACUUAACAUAGUUCGGGCAGCUUCACACAAAGAUCGGUUUCGUCUUUCGACUAUUCCGUUCUGUUGUGGUGUGUAGGGAGCUGAGAAAUUAUGGCUAAUUCCCUUUUCUGCAAGAAACUCUUCAAACUCCCUGUUCUUGAAUUCGAGACCAUUGUCGCUCCUGAUGUUGCGAACGACCUUCUUGAGCUGGACUUCAAUUUGCUUGAUAAACACUUUCAGCUUUUGAGUCGCUUCAGAUUUGAGCUUUAGAAAGAACACCCAUGUAAAUCGAGAGAAGUCAUCAACGAUAACAAGAAUGUACUUGCUACCACCGAUGCUUUCAAUAGAUGAAGGACCACACAAAUCGAUAUGAAGCAAUUCGAGUGGUUCAACAACUUUUGUGUUAAUUAUGGAUGGGUGACUUUGACGACUCUGCUUUCCCAUUUCGCAUGCAGCACACAAAUGCUCUCUGUCAAACUUGAGCAAUGGAAGACCCCUAACAUGACCUCCAGUGACAAGUCGGUUGAUAUCUUUGAAAUUGAGAUGAGAGAGUCUUCUGUGCCACAACCAGCUUUCGUCGGAUUGAGCUUUUGAUAGCAGACAUAUGGCUGGGUUUCCUUUGAUGGGUUUCAUGUUCAGAGGAAACAUUUCACCCUUUCGCUCUGACUUCAGAAUCACUUUCUUUGUCUUUUUCUCUAUGAUUUCAGAACCUUCAUCAUCGAAUGAAACUUUGAGACCUGUACCUCCAACAAGCUGAGAUACACUGAUGAGGUUGUGUUGGAGUCCUUCCACAUAGGCCACCUUCCUUAUUGUAAAGUCACCAUUCGUUAUCAUCCCGUAUCCCUUUAUGGUGCCGAAAGAGUUAUUUCCAAACUUAACGUUGCCACCAUUUGCAAGAGAUCUGUAUUCCCUGAGCUCCUCUUUCCUCCCUGUCAUGUGACGCGAGCAGCCACUGUCGAUGUACCAUUCUUCGUCAAACUGCUCGUCACUUAUAACCUGCAAAAAUUAAGCAGAUUUAGGAACCCAAAGUUUCUUGGGUCCAUGUGAGCUUUUCAUGGGAACGGGAAUAGUAAGAGAGAUGUCAACUAGAUAUGUUCUUUUAAUUAGAGUUGUUUCAUCUUUCUUUUUAAUGGUAAAGACUUUUAUUUUGUUAGGAUUGGGUUUGUUCGCUUUGGACUCAGGUUUGGAUUCAUCGACCUUCUGCUUUCCUUUCUGUUCAGCUGAUGGAUGAGGUUUUUGACAACAUGUGGGAUUAGCUUUAGAGCAAGAUGGAGAUGAAUGAGUGGAAGUAGAAGAACGAGAAGAAUUAGAAUGAGAGGAUUUGGAUGGAGAUGUCUUCCUGGCUGAUGAUUCUAGGUGACCCUUUUGCUUUUGAUCGUUGGCGGGGCUGACCUUUGAGUCUUGUUCUCUUUUGGCUUUAGAGCCGAACCUCUGUGUUCGGUUGGAGUUGUUCUUGGAACCGAACCUUUGGUUUCGGUCGAAUUCCUUUUCAGAACCGAGCCCUUGCUUUCGGUUGGUGUUUUCUUGCGAACCGAACCUUGGCUUUCGGUUGGUAUUUUCUUGCGAACCGAACCUUGGCUUUCGGUUGUUGGAACUUUCAGGCNGGUUGUUGGAACUAUCAGGCUUUCUUACAGGAUUGUUUUCAUACUUCAGAUUCUUGUCCUUGUGUGAAUAGUAUGCAUUCUGGGAGUGCCAGAAUUGUUUCCUUUCAGAAAGGUUUUUCCUGUAUCUUUGGUUCCUUUCUAUCUUCCUAUCCCUCAUCUGCUUGGGUUGAUGAUGAACGUUCGCUUUCGUUUUUGUUGUCACCUUGGCUGGUUCCUUUUGAACUUCAGGAGUUUUUCUUUGAGCCGAGGGAGCAGAUGGAAUAUCUGAAGAAGAUUCAGUUUGCCCUGAGGAAGUGGAGGGAGUAUCUGAUGAAGUUUCACUACGAGCUGUUGGAGUAGAGGGUAUGUCUUCUUUUGCUGAACAAUCAUCCUCUUGAGGAAUAUCUUUCGUACCACUGGUGCUUGGUUCACUGAAAUUAUCAGGCUUAUUCAAUGGUUCAGGGAUGUAUCUUCCUUUGCUCAUCCAGGAGGUUCUUUCAGACAGGCCAACGGUUUCGUUUGCAUUAUCAAUAGGAGCUUCCCAGAAAUACUCAUCACAGCCAUCAGCAUUGUCUUCAUUAACAAUAGCUGUGAGUUCAGCUGUUUGAUGUUCGGUUACUCCAGUCACCUUGUAUACCUGAUUCGGAGUGGUCCUGACCUUUUGAUACACGACAGCUUUUUCUACUAGUUUCGGGGACUUUUGUUGGGACAGUCUAGCGAAUUCCACAGAAUUUUCAGAGAUAAGAUUUUUGUGGUUUUUAGUUUCGCUUUUAACGAAUUCUGAGCAGUCAACCGUAUCCUCUACAGAAAUUUCACUCAUGUUUUCGUCCUCGUUAAGCUCAGAUGCAUUUUCAACAUCUAUUUUAUUUUCUGAGCUUACGUUGGCGUUUAGGGAGUCAAAUUUUUGCAUGGUUUCGGUUCUCAGUUUAAGUCGGUCAUUUUCGUCCAAAAGGUUUUUGAGCAUGUCCUUGUGGUCUUUGGAUUUAAUGAAGGACUCAAUUUUGUCCAGUCCAUACAUGUAGGUCGGAUUGACAUCAUCAGACGAUAUCACACUCUCACAUUUGUAGGCUUCGGCAUCGAUUUCAUCCUCCUUAAAUUCUAGGAAGGGCAAAAUCAUGCGAUGGAUCUUUUGGCCUAUCUCACAAUCCAAGUGAAGUUGAGUAAUAUUGGAAUAUAAACGUUUAGCUAUUAAACAAAAAACAUUUCGUUGUUUUAACAAUUUCAAAUUGUCUCUCUGCAAAUAAAUGUUUUCGUCUUUAACUUUAACUAAUUCCGACUCUUUUAACUCAAUCCACAUUCGCCGCUCCUCACUCUUCGACGCCACCCUGCUUAAUUGAUCAGUCAGGUUAGAAUUGGUGACUCGAGUUUGAGUUAAGCUACUAUCUAAAUGAGAAAUUCUUGUAUUAACAUUUUUUAGUUCUUUCUCAUAUGAGGAUGAUGGUACUUUAGAUGAAAUAAAAACAGAUUGUACCUUCUUUAUCAGUUCAUCGAGCUCAUUGAACUGCUGGCUGAGUGGUUUGGCCGUAAAGCACAUAUCCUCCUGUACCUUCGGUCCAUCGCUUCCUCCAUCGGUAUUGUAUCCCCUCAUUUGAGAUACGUCAGUCACCAUGAAGCAUUUUCCACCACUGCUUUCCUCCUUAGCCACAUAAGCCUUUCCAUGAGUAGGCUUCCUCACUUCUUCGUCUUCUGAGUCAGUAGACCAAACUUCUGUGCUACCGAACUCAUCGUCAUUAACCGAACCCUGCACAAUAAGAGCAUUAAUAGAAGGGUUAGCGGUAGACUUCUUCUUUCUCAACUCAUCCAAUCUCUUCUGCAGCACGGCUUCCUCAUCAUUUCCAUCGUCCUUUUCAGCCAUCUUCUUAAGAACACAGUCCUUAGCAUAGUGGUUCUUGCCACCACAGUAGAAACAGCUUACUCCGGAAUCGCCAUCUGCCUUCGGUUCCUUCUUGGGCUCCUCAGCCUUCGGUUCAUUGUUCACCUUUUCAGAGCUGUAACUCCCCUGCCAGUUUCGGUUUUUGUUGCUGGGGAAUCUCUUCUUUAUGAACCUCUUAGGAUUGGAUACCAUCAUGGCAUAAUCCUCAGUUGUGAGGUCAUAUUCUUCCAAGUUGAGCUCUUCAUCCUCCAUCACAGCUUUACUUUUAGAUAGGAGGGCCAACGAACCAAGACUAGAAACAACGUUCUUCUCUUGAACCACAAUCUUCUCUUGGGACUUUAGAAUACCCACCAGUUUCGCCAAAGAGUAUGAUUUAAACUGUUCAUGGGCUUUGACUGUGGAAACCACUGCUCUCCAUUCAGAUCUCAGUCCGUUCAAGAAAGUAACCUUUUGUUCGAUGAGCUUCCUUUCAAUGUCGUGUUUGAUCAUCUUGCUGAGAAGAUGAUUGAAGCGAUCAAACGUCUGGGUCACCGUUUCUUCGGCCCCUUGCCUGAAUUCUCCAAACUCAGAUAGAAGCAAGGUUUGGAUGGAAUGUUCAAGAUCUUCGUCUGUGGAAUACAGUUCGCGAAGUCUAUCCCACACUUCCUUUGCCGUAGUACAUGAGCUGACCAGUCUGAAUGUGUCGGACUGAAGGGCGAAUCUGAUCAACCUUAGCGCCUUAAUAUUGCACUGGAAUUUGUCUUUUUCAUCUUGCGCAAUAUCCGUCACGUCCUUAAGCAGAUCGUUGUACUCUUUUUGCGUCUUAAUGAUUCUGGAUGUUGCAGAAUGAGAAAACGGUCCAUUGAUGAUGGCUUCCCAGAUGAGAUAACCAUUGUCCUCCGAUCCAAUCACGUAAUCUUCAAAAUGAUGCGCCCAUACUUCAUAGUCAUGGGUGUAUAAGAUUGGAAUCUUUGUCGUCGAACCGAUGCUGUUGGAAAUAUUAAUAGGGUUUGAUUGCGUCGCGUCCAUUAUGAUCGUAAAAACCUGUUCAAAGAUCAGACUUGUAAUAAAGCAGAUUAGGGCAAAACAAUAAAUAUUAAGAUACGUCAAUUAAGAUGACGGCUCAAUAAAUAUCGAUGAUUGCGGAAAACCCUAAUGGAAAUCUUUUUCACAGAAAAGAUGUGUAUCGAUUACACAGCCUCCUGCUCUGAUACCAAUUGAUGGGAUUAAAACAACUUUUAAUCUAUGAAGAUCGAUUAGAUCUUGAACAAGUAUAUGAAUAUGAAACAGUAAAAACGCAAUAAUAAGAACAAACAGCUUGAAUCAAACGUGUCGAAUGAUUAAAUAAAAUCCUUAGAAGAGCUCGAUUAAGAACAUCAACUGUAAAGGAUUAGAAGAUUACAAGAACGAUUACAGAAAAAUAAAGUACUCUUGAUCAAUCGCUAUUUUGAUAAUCUCUCGAAUCUUAACCUAAUAUGCAUGCAAGCAUUUAACUUAUAUACAAUACAUAAAAGGCUCUCGGUUGGACAGGCCCAAACCGGAGAAUACAAGGCUAAUCAACGAGCCCAAAAGACGCAACAUCAAAACUAUCUACAGCCCAACAAGAUCAAUCAGUGUAAUGAAUUGGAAUCACUAAUAAAUCUUGUUUAUAUGUUCAUAAUAAUGAUAAUGAACUUAAACAUAAGUUGUACUUAAAGUACGGUAAGCAUAACUUAAUUUACAGGUGGUUUAGCGAGAAAUCGGGCUUUGCAUGGGCAAAACUUUUGAGCCGAAAGCUCUUAUUCUCGAGUCUUUCCGGCGCUCCGGGGCUCACUACUAACUCCUAGGAAGGGCUAAAGAUAAGGUCUGAUGACCUUGGGAGGUUUGGGAGAGAAUUGGUUGAAGAUGUGUAACGAAAAGAGUGAGAAAUGAGCUCUAUUUAUAGCUGCCAGCGCCCAAGUACGUUGGGCGUACUCAAGAAUUACGCUGGGCGUAAUGGAUUUUUAAGGGUUACUCUGGGCGUACUCAAAUAUUACACUGGGCGUAAUGUGCAAUGUGGCGAAAUCUGGUGGCAAGCUGUGGGGAAGAAGGUGUGGCCUAAAUCUUGCCACUUGUCACUCGUUGGUUAAUCCAAAAACUAAUUAUCUUCUAAAAUCCUUGACUUUCGCAUACGAGCUCGGUUUUUUAUGUUCUUUAUAUCCACACAUAGGUAUCGACGAUAUUUAUAACUUUUGUUUAGACUUCGUAGGCUAAUUUUUCUUUAUUUUUAAAGAUAUAUUUUAAUAGGCUUAGACAGUUAAAGUCCGUUAAAAAUUCUUAACUUUGUCAUCCGACGUCCGUUUUUUAUUGUCUUUAUAUCGUUGAGCUCCUAUUAAUGAGAUCUUCAAUUCAUGUUUAGUUUGUGUCGACUAAUGUUCGAUUGAUCUAAAAUUUGAUUUACGGGGUGUAUUCUGUUACGCUAAAUCUUAUAAAAAUCAUAACUUACUCAAAUGAAGUCAGAUUUGGACGUUCUCUAUAUGUACGUUCUCAAUUUAACAUCUACUAUGACUUUUGUUUAGCUUGCUAAGGCUAAAAAAUGUUUUAUCAAAAAUUUACUUUAUACGAUACGUGGAGCCGUAUCGGUUUAAUCGCGAAACUUCGACAGGUCAUAACUUCUUCGUUAUAAGUCGGAUUUCUACGUUCUCUAUGUGUACGGAAUCCUUGUCACAUAUAAUUGGUUAAGAUUAUUUAUUCUAAAUAAUAUCCUAUCAAAAAGUCAUUUUUAACACUUAUUAUCUCUAAAUUGACUGGCCCGAAUCUGCAUGUGUUACAAUUAUCUCCCCUUAAGAUGAUUACGUCUUGGAAUCAUCAACAAAACAGGUCUUGUAUAAUGACGACAUAUGUUAUCUUUUCAUCCAAGGUAAUAAUCAUAACUCUUUUGUCCUUUUAAAUUAGUAUCUAUCUCUUGGACUUCUUGACUACUGGCGGUGCUCAAUCUCACAUAUGCUCUCCGUACCAUGUUGAGUUUUCAAUCGUAACAUUUAAGUUACAAAUUCGAUCUUUACUAGAGAUUCCUUCUUCUUUUCAAUAGAAUUAACUUAAUACAAGUUCUUUAUUUCGAUUACCAUAAUAGACCGAUGGGUCAUGUUCUAAUGAUCUUUCAUCGUAUGAUCCAAUGCUUAGACUCAGGUCUUUUAGAGUCAAAUUCCAGAAUGGAAGAUACAUUCCUUCAUGUUCUAAUGUGAUAUAAUUAUAGUCUAGCAUGUAGCACUUCUAGCUACAAGCUUCUUACUUUAACGGCAAUUGCGAUACUUCUAUUGAUCACUUCAAAUAUCUCUUAUUUCAAUAUUCUGGCUUAAGUCAGAUUCUACAUCCAACUUGAUUCUUUAAACCACGUAUAAUAUAUAUCUUAGUUUGACUAGAUAUUAUAUGACCACCAGGUUCGGAAUAAUAGUCAUCUUCUUAGUCAUUACCGACACAAUGGUAACGCCAGACAUGAACAAAACGGAAUCAAUUACUAGCACCUUGAUAAACUUGUGACUUUCCGUGAUCCAAGUGUGAGUCCUAUGCUUCUGGUAGUAUAGGCCUCUACUAUCUUUCACACCAACUCAUACUCGUUUGUUGGGUCAAAAACAUGGUUUAUACUUUGCUUUUCUAAGCAUUUAUUGUUUUUAUUAUUUGGGCCAAAAAUAGUAUAGGAUUAAUUGUAGUUUGGACCGAGCAUUGGAUUAUUUGUAUUUUAGGCUUAGCCUUAGGUCCAUAUAUAUAUAUAUAUAUANAUAUAUAUAUAUAUAUAGGGUGAGGAGUGCAUGUGAGGGUAAGAACUAAGGAGCUUAAGUGUGUGUAUUCUAAGGUGUGAGAGAAACUACAGAGAAGAGUGUGUGUGAACUAUGUGUAUGGAGCUUCAAUCAUUUCAUUGAAUACAUCAUAGAUUCAUAUUCUUCUUCUCCUUCUCUUCUAUUUGAUCUGACAUCAUCCGUUUGAUUGGAAUUCCACACCAUCAAACGAAUCUGAUUGAUACACAGGCAGAUUGGGGACUUACAUCGACCCAAGUAUUUCCCCUCAAUUCUCCAGUUAACUGCAUAAGAAAAAUCAUAUAGUAACUUAACACAUCAAUUAACAUAACCAAGGUUUAUAUUGUUUCUUGAAAGGAUUACAUACAUAUUCAAGUUCGCCUUAUACUAUGCCUCUCAUAUUAGGCUACACCACAUGAUACAAUCUAUACGGGUACUUUGUAUCUCGAUCUUCAAAUAUAUAGACCCUUACUCCUAAUCCCUUGCAUCAUCAAUUGCUUCAUUAAGGAUCAUCUGGAAUGCUCUUGCCUUAGGAUUUGGCAGUACGUUUGGCUUUGUAGCUCCUUCCCUAUUCGGGUAGUCUUGCUUGGUUGAGCAUUUGUUGGCAUAUUGACCAAUCUUCCCACAUUUAAAGCAGGUCACCUCUUUAUUGCAUCUCCCAAUGUGCUUCCUUCUGCACUUAUGACACCACUUUUCUUCAUUUCCAUCCCCAUACCUCUUAUUGUUGUGGUCAGACUUUGGGAACCUAUUUUUUUUGGGAUCUUGAAGACUUCUCAAAGUUCCUAUUCCUGCCAACAUCAACCUUAUUGGCAGUUCUACCUUUGGUAAUUUCUUCUACAGACUUAGCAGCCCAGAUGGCCGCCUCAAGAGUAAGUGCAUAGCAUACUGGCACAACGUACUCCCAUGGUAGUCCCUUUGUAUACUUAUCGAUUUUUGUUAGCUCUACAGGGACGAUACGCAAAGAAAACUCCAUCAUGUCUAUGAAUGCAUGGGUAUACUUAUCAAUGGACAUGUUUCCCUUUUUCAAUGUCAAUAGCUAGUUCUCCAGCUCUAGCAUGUGUUGGGCUGAGCAGAACUUGCGUUUAAAGUGUACCAAGAGUUUUGCCGAUGUCAAUUAUAGUGGCUCAUUGGGGCUUAUGGUCUUUCCCAAAGUGUUCCACCAACGAACAACCCCACCCUAAAACUGACGCACAUCUAAGUAGUUUUUAGCUUGCCCUUGCAACCACAUGUUAUGAAAGCUAGCUCCAUCUCAGAGAUAUAGUCUAUAACUCUGAAUGGAUCUUCUUUCCCAGUAAAAGUUGAUUUUUUGCAAGUCGUAAAGUCUUUAUACUUGCAUAGGUUCCUUUCGAUCCCUUUAUCUUGGUUAUUUCUUCUAACCACUUGUGGAUCAGCUUGACUAACGGUUCUAUUAUAAUUUCCUUCUUCUGACUGUUGUUCGUUAAGUUCAUACUGUACAACUAGUAUAGUAGCUUCAUCCCUAUUAUUAAGCAACAUUUUUCUCAUAUCUUCCCUUUGUUCGAUCAUCAUAUUCCGAAUCAUUGCUUAGACUCUUGCCAUCAUGAUCAGCUCGGGUGCAGCUACUACCUCUGGUGCAUGCUCAAUCAUUUGUGGCUCAGGCUAUUGAUUACCAUUUUCAAAUCCACUUCGAGUUCUCAACAUGUUAGUCUAUAUGCAAAAUCAGACGUUUGGUGUGUAGUGAAGAGAAUUAAGAUAGGAAAGCUUUAUUUAUGAUAGACAUAUAAAUCUCCUUAUCAUUCCGAAAAGUUACAUGUCAGUUCUAAUAUCGGAGUUAAACGUUUAGAAAUCCGAACACAUUAAAGUUCCACAUCCGGCCCGCAAUAGACCAUAGAUUUGUUCAAGCGAUAGCAUCAUAAAGCAUAUAUUUAGCACAUAAGAGAAAUUUAGGCAUCUUCCCUAACUGAGCUAGUGCUAGUGUCUAUUUAGGCAUACUUCCUAAAAUAUAAUAGACACACUCCUCACGAUCAUCGCUUAGCAUUCUAAGUUUAAGUCCUGCAAUUCCUAGUUCGUCUAAACUAAUGCUCUAAUACAAACUGUGACAUCCCUAAUUUUACGACCAAAAAAGACCGAUUUAUUUAUGCUUAUUUAAAAACCAGAGUAUCCUUUUUGAAGAAUAAUAUUGCGGAAUUUGUUCCUAGAAAACUUUUGGAUUAGGUGUCUAAGCCCAUAACUAUAUUUGGUAUGUACUUGACUCGGUUGUACCAUGGUCCUUUUGGGUUGCCUUCACCAGAGCAACUUGACUGGAUGAAUAAUGGAGAAAGAGGUUAUUAUGGUUUAUUAAUAUAUUAUAUGAAUAAUAUAUUAAAGGAGAAAUCAUAUUAUUUAAUUAACAUUGGUUAAGAAUUAAUUUAUAAUUAAUUUUCUGGUUAAAAGAGGUUAAUUGAAUUAAAGGGACUGAAGUUGUAAUUAUAAGAUAAUUGCGAUACAAGCUGAGAAACCCUAAAGAUAGGGUGGACGAAAUAUUAUGGAAAGCCCAUAAGGAUUUUAUCCAAGGUAUGGGUUCUAGAAGGAUCUAGUGGGUUGCUUAGAGCCUAAGCAACCAUAUAAGGUCUUUGGCUGAAACUCUAAUUCCUCACCUAUAUAAAGGACCCUUGGCUUCACAAAUUCAGCUACCACUUGAACCCUAGAGUUCAUAGAAUUGAUUUUUAGCCUUUCCCCUUUCUCUCCAAGAUCAUCCAAUUGCUUAUGUGUUUGCGAUUCAUUAGAGGCAUCACAUUUGAGGUGUUAGGUUCUCAAGAGCUCAAGAUCAUCACGCUUCAAAUGAAAGGUAACAUUCUUAAUCUUAUUUAUAUUGAUUUCAAUUUUAUUGUAUGCUAUUUUAGGGUUUAAGAGCUUUGGAUGAUUAUUGCAUGUGCAAAUAGAAAAACCUAGAUCCAAAGCUUUAGGAUUUGCAUGUACACCAUAAGAUUGAUUUUUUGCUCAUAACCCAACAGUGGUUUCAAAGCCUAGGUCAUUUUUCUUUUGUAUUUGAUGCAUUGGUUAAUUGUUCAAAUUUGAAAAAUCAAAAAAUCUAGCCUCCGCCUGAUGAACUCGUCGAGUCAGCUGAUGAAGUCGACGAAUCAGGGCAACUCGACGAGUCCAUUUUGUGACUCGGCGAGUCGGGCACUCUGGAGGCUGAUCUUUCAGGAUUUUGACUGAAAUUGAAUUAAGAUAGUUACCAAAAACACUUUUGGAUGUUAAAAUCUGAUUUUUUCAAUAAGGUAUGGUAUAUCCUAAUGCAAUUCAAAGAUAAUUGUCAUAAAUAAGAUAAUUACUUGUUUUAUAUGAUAAAGAUUAAUUAUUUGUAUUUUGAUUUGAAUUAUCUAGUCAAUAAAAUAGAUUAGGUCAAAUUACGUUAUAAAUAUUAAUAAUAUGAUUAUUUAAUUGUGACAACCCGUAUGCUUCUAUCUUGUAAGUCAAGCAAAUCAAUCAAAGUUAGACUUGUUUCUGUUAGUUUUUAGCCUUGUUAAGGGUUAUUCUAAGAGUUUUUAAGCAUUGUACACUUAGAACUUAAUGCUAUGUAUUGUGAGUAAGGAAUCUAUGAUUUUCAAAUUGAACCAAAAUCAUCCAUCAAGGGAUGUUUACGGCCCAAACUAGGUUUACGGCCGUAAACCCAAGCUUGGCCAUAAACCCCUCUUUACACAUAUAGAUUUCCUUCAUUAUUUCUUCAUUUCUCACAUCUUCAAGUCUAGAACUCUCAAAACUCUCUCAAGUAUCAUCAAGAACACUCUCCUUUCUCUUCAAAAUCGUAAGUUAUUCUUUCUUAUUUACUUGAUAUCCUUCUUAUUCACGUGAAGCUCUUUGAUUUCAUCCAUGAAUUCUACACUUUUGGUUUAGAUCUUCAAAUCAUCAUCUUUUCACCAAGAACACCAAGAGCACACACUUGUUCUUGGGCCGUAAAAUCCUUAAAGGCUUCCAAAACGUAAAUAUAUAUUCUAUCAUCUUGUUAUCCAUUAGAAGCACUUGAAUCGAUACAUGAAACAAGCACCAAAUUUGCAUGAUCUUCAAUUGUUCACGGGCGUGAACCCUUCAUGUGGCCGUGAACCCUUCAUAAAAUCUUCUUAUGGCUGUGAACACUUCAUCCAUGACCAUAAACCCUUCUUAGUUGCAAGUUAGGAAUGUAAACCCUUCAUAAGAUCAAGCCUUGGGCCGUAAACACUUCAUGUGUGGCCGUAAACUCUCCUAUGGCUGUAAACACUUAUAGUGUGGCCGUGAACACCCUUUCAUACAAUCACAUGUGACUGUAACACUUCAUUUCAAGUGUUUCCUAGUCCAUAAGGUUGUUCUCUUACAAGAUUAUUUGUUAUAUACACUAAUUAUAUACAUAUAUGUGCCAUUAUAUGCUUAAUAGGACCCGUUUGUCCUCGAGACUUCACUUGGCAUACUUAGCAUCCUAUAUCGAUCUUUCAUUCAAAUCACUCACAACAGAUGAGUUCAUACCCCUAAAACUAUGCUUUUAAAUACUUUUAAAUGAUUUUAGGGGGGGGGGGGUACAAGUAUAACAUGAUGAAAUUGUGUUAAGCAUUUACAUGUUAAAACAACAUUCAAAAGGAUUUCUUAUACUCAAACUUUUGAAAACUCUUUUAAAGCUUUUAUAAAUUUCUUUUAUAUCAAAUCAUAUUCGUCUACUAUUUACGUAUAAGUAUGCUUUAGUGGACUUAGGACUACUGCUAGAUACCUUGACUCCUGUUCCUUGUUUGGUUGUGGGCUCAGGGUAGGAUCACUAGUCCGAAUGUCGGUUAAAUCAUAGUUAUACUUAUUGAAUAGAUGGGUGAAUAUUAAAAUCCUCUUAAGGAUAAUACUUAACUUAGUUUCUUGGUAAGUAAUUGAGUCUUUUCUAUACAUUAGUAUCAGUCAAACAAUCAUACUAGUAACUAUAAUAGGUAUAGUUUAGUGGAUUACUACUUACUAUUUCUAGAACAUUGAAACUUACAAGAAUCAGUUCAAACAUACUAUAACGAGAACAAAAGGAACAUACUAUAACAAGAAUAGAAGGAACAUACUAUACACUAGAACAGGAAGGAACAUACAUACUAAUACAAGAACAAGAUAACAUUAAUGUGAGCCACUACAUGGAAUGGCAAUAUACUACUCUGUCAUGUUUUGUAACCAGAGUCUUUUGGAGGGAGAGCGUGAGUUUAUGUAUAGAUAUAUACGAGAUUGACCAUCCUACACCUUGCUGCUAGCUACAGUGGGACUUGCAGGUCUAUGGGUGACAAAUGUCAUACCAUUUCGAUGUCUUUGGAACGUCGUGUUUUAUACUUGUCAAUCAAGCGUGGUUAUAACCUCAUCAAAUUUUACCUUAAUUAAACCAUUGGUUUUAAGGUAGUUAGUACUUCAGUAGUUACUGUAUACAAUACUACUGUACAUAUUCAAUUUCCCAUUACUUUCAUAUAGUGAUAUUCUCACAUAAAAGGUAAUGUAAACUAUUUUCUUGUAAUAAUAGUCAUACUUGGGAAAAACACUCACUUUUACAAAAGGACAAACAUACAGAGCAGUUGAGUCUUGGUAGAAGACUACUUUAGUAGAAAAUAUAGGAUUUUCUAGGAAGUAUACAAUCAUUUACAUCAAAACAUUUACAAACAUUUUCAUCAAACUAAUGCAAACAUUUGAUACUAAAAUAUUUAUGAACUCACCAGCUUAAAUGCUGAUCUACUCUUUCAAGAUACCUUGUAUUCUCAGGUCACCAGUAGACAGGUACAGAUGGCCAGGUUUUAAGGAGACGGAGCUCUUACAAGAUUCNGAGAAGACGGGGCAUGUUCAAGACUCGUCUUUUAUUUUGAUAUAUAUAUAUAUAUAUAUAUAUAUAUAUAUAUAUAUAUAUUUUUGGUGUCUUACAAAUACAUUAAGAACACACAUGUAUAAAUUAUACUAUUAAUGCAAUGGAUGAUGUUGUUGCUUGUUUUACUGUUGUGCAUUGUUAUGAUACUCUACAUGACGUCCUCUGCCCCAAACAUUUCCGCCGUUCUGGUUUGGGGUGUGACAUUAAUUAUUUUUAAAAUUUUCCCUCAAGUUUUGGGAUUAAAUUUUUUGAUUAAAAGUUUUAAUUUUGAAAUACUUAAAUCCUAAACCCUAGAGUUUUACAAGUUUAAAAUUCAACCCUUAUACUAUUAUAAAAUUAUAAGAUUAAUAAUUAUAUAUAUGUAUAAUAUUAAGCUAGUCUUACCAUUACUAGACCUCGUUCAUGAAGCCAAUCGAUAAAGGGGGUAUAAGGUUGCUGCCUAUAAAAUGACAGUUUAAUGGGUGUCCACUCACACCCACCACUUCCUUGAUUAGUGGAGGGUCAUUAGCCGAAUGGGUAGGAUAGGGCAACUAAUUUCUCAUUAAAAGUAUAAUGUUUAAUAAAGUAACUAAAUGUUUGUAUAAAAUUCCCAAUCUUAGUUACUUUAGGAAAAUUGUGAAAUGAUGUUAUUCCAGGAAAUUACACUUUGCACCCUGCCAAGUCGUUAGUGGAGCGUACGUGGAUAACCGACACACUAAUUUGGGACUAGCAAUGGUGAAAAAGGGUAACUCGAUGUUUAUCAUAGAUCAAUGGAACAUGUGUGGUUAACCGACACAUUGAUUAGGUGGUAAAUGACAUCGAGAGUACCAAGUAUAAUUGCAUAGUUAUUCACACCUUUUUUGUGAUCCUCAGUAUCCCAAUCACAAACUUGAAGGGCAUAUUGAGAUUUAAAAACGCCAUUGAAAAGUUCAAUGAAUCAAAAAAGAUUUAGGAAUUUCAAUACAUUUAAAAGUUAAUUGUCUUUUCGUUUUUCAUGGUGGAAAUUGGGAAAUCGUCAUUUACCUACCUUCAAAUUAUUUGCAAUUAGAUUACGACAUCUCUCUUCUGAAUUGUAAAUAAUUGUGUUGGGUCCUAGCCCUAAUUUUUCAUUUGGGUGUUAAAUUGGGGAUUCUUAUCUAAUCUAAACUUUGAUCGUUUUCUAUUUUGGAUGUCUACUCAAAACAAUAACGCUUUUGGAUCGACCGCUUUCGGCUCAUUCUUAAUCAUGAACUUGUGUGGGAGGGUGAUAUUCGAUGGGGGUCCAAUGUUAAUGAUUGGAUCCGCAACAUUCGCAUGGUCACCCGCUACGAGGACAAAGAGUAUGUUCUCGACAAGGAGCUAAAGGAGGUCAAUGUGAGCACUACCACUCCCGAGUAAAUUCAUACUUGCAAAACUUAUGAGCGAGAUGCUACGAAGGUUCAUUGCAUCAUGCUCGCAACAAUGAUUGUGGAACUCCAAAAGUCCUACGAGGACUACUACCUUUAUGAGAUGCACCAAGAUUUGAUGGAAAGGUACCAUCAAAGUGCUAGGCAGGAACGGUAUAAGAUCAUCGUUGCGAUGAUCACUCCCAAAAUGAAGGAUGGAGAGUCCAUCGCGACCCACUUUUAGAAAGUGCAGAGGUAUGUGGACCACUUGCUGAAGUUAAAUAUUAACUUCGAUGAGGAGUUGGCCAUAGAUAUUAUUCUACACUCCUCACCUCCUUGAUACGACCAGUUUUGUAUGACCUACCACAAGGAGGAGGUCACUCUAAGCAAGCUUCAAGGCAUGCUAAGGAUUGCUGAGAGUAGUCUGAAUGGCAAAUCUAUUUCAUUUACUCCUACUACCACAGCCCUACAAGGGAUAGUCUCAUGAUGGUACCUCUUCUAGUGGAACCAAAGUUGGUCUUGCUGCUCCCUCUGCAAACCCGAAGGAUGCAGAGUGAUACUACUGCCAUGAGAAAGGGCAUUGGAAUGAAGUUACCCGGUAUCUUCAAGAUAUCAAGGAUGGGAAGAUAAAGCCCACCUUUGCAGGUACUUAUACUAUUCAAUCUAAUAACUCAUCACAUGCUAUGUCUUGGGUCCUCGAUACAGGGGGUGGUUUUCACAUUUGUUCUGAUUUACAGGGUCUAAUAAGAAGUAGGGACGUGGAGCAUGGGAAGAUAAACUUUAUUAAGGGGAAUAUGAAAGCAUCUCAUGUCACCAAGAUUGGAGUUUAGUCUUUAGUGCUUGGUAGUGGGUUAGGUUUAGAUUUUAAUAACUGUUGCUAUUUGUCAGAAAUGACACGAAACAUUAUUUUUUUCAUGGUUUGUAUAAACCAGGUUUUAGAUUUUCGUUUAAUAAUGAAAAUGGUUGUAUUAAUGCUUUCUGUAAUGAUACUUUCUAUUUUGAAGCAUUGCCUUGUACUGGAAUAUAUGAAAUUGUGAUGGUUGUAGACAACUUAGGAAAUGAUGUGUUGCAUAUCGAUUCUUCCAAUGGUUUGGAUGAAGAAUGCUUGUGGCAUUGUCGUCUUGGACAUGUCAACAAGAAGCGCAUAGCCCAACUCCAAAAGGAUGGAGCGUUGGAGUCAUUCGACCUUAGGGACGAUGACAAGUGUGAGUCUUGAUUGUUAGAAAGAUGACCAAGUCACCCUUCACUGGCACUUGUGAAAGGGGUGAGGGUUUAUUGGAUCUCAUACAUACCGAUGUAUGUGGGCCCAUUAGAUCCACCACAGGGGAUGCAAACCGCUUCUAUGUGACUUUUACCUAUGACUAUAGCAGAUAUGGAUAUAUCUACUUAAUCAAGCACAAGUCAGAAACCUUUGAAAGUUCAAAGAGUUUAAAGAAGAAGUGGAGAAUCAGUUGUGCAGGAAAAUUAAGAUGCUCUGAUCCGAUCGAGGAGGAGAGUACCUUAGUAUUGAAUUCCAUGACUACCGCAACGAAUGCAGAAUUGUUUCACAAUUGACGCCACCUAGGACACCACAGUUGAAUGGUGUGGUUGAGUGGCGCAAUCGAACCUUGUUGGACAUGGUUCGUUCCAUGAUGAUUCAGGCUUCGUUACCUAUCUCAUUUUGGGGGUAUUCCUUAGAGACUACCGCCCAUAUCCUUAAUCUAGUCCCAACUAAGAAGGUUGCCUAAACACCUCACGAGAUGUGGAUAGGGAAGGUUCCCUCGUUGGAACAUAUCAAGGUUUGUGGUUCUGAGGAUUUCAUAAGAUGAUAGACUCAGGACAAGCUCAAACCUCAUAGUGAACGGUGUGUUUUCAUUGGCUAUCCGCAGAAGUCCAUUGGAUAUAUCUUCUACAAACCGAGUGACAAUGUUGUCUUCGUUGCGGGGAUAUGGGUUUUUCGAGAGCUAGAACUCAUAUCCCAAGAGUACACUGGGAGCCAAAUUGAUCUUUAAUAGCUUCAAGAAUCAAGCGAUAAAGGAACCUCUGACAUUGGCGCUUAACCCAAGGAGGAAACUUCUGUUGAACCGAUUGACGAGUCCUUACCUCUUAGACGUUCCAGUAGAGUUAGUGUUCCACUUGUGCUUUAUGGUUACCAUAUAACAAGUGAAGGUGAUACAUUUAUUAGUGAUAGUACACUAAUAAAUUUGGAUGAGCCUAACACCUACGAGGAAUCCAUGGCAGGCCCAGAGUCUCCAAAAUAGAAAGAGGCUAUGGGCAGCGAAAUUCAUUGCAUGUAUGACAAUCAAGUUUAGAACUUGGUUGAUAAUGUGCCAGGUCAUAAGACAGUCAGAUGCAAGUAGAUCUUCAAGAAGAAGACCAACAUGGAUGGGAAAGUACACACGUAUAAGGCGCGAUUGGUUGCGAAGGGCUUUACUCAAACUCAUAGAGUUGACUAUGGUUAGACCUUCUCACCAGUUGCGAAGAUUCAGUCUAUAAGAGUUAUGCUAGCCAUAGCUUCAUUUCAUUGCUAUGAAAUAUGGCAAAUGGAUGUCAAAACCGCUUUCCUUAAUGGGAAGUUGGCUGAAGAUGUUCACAUGAGUCAGCCAGAGGGUUUUGUCAAUGCAGAGCACCCUAAUAAAGUGUGUAAGCUUGAGAAAUCCAUUUAUGGAUUGAAACAGGCAUCUCGCAGAUGGAAUCUUUGUUUCGAUGAGAAAGUUAAAGAGUUUGACUUUUUGAGAAGUGAGGAUUAGUCCUAUGUAUAUGUCAAAGCUAGUGGGAGUAUAGUUAGCUUUCUCGUUUUGUAUGUGGACGACAUACUGCUCAUAGGAAAUAACACCCUAACCUUGUAGGAGCUUAAGUCCUAGCUUGGGAAGUGCUUCACUAUGAAGGACCUCGGAGAAGCUGCUUAUAUUCUCAGGAUAAGGAUUUUGAGAAAUAAUAGUAAAAGACUAAUAGGACUUAGUCAAAGUUCUUACUUGGAUAAGUUUUGAAACGUUUCAGCAUGGAGAAUUCCAAGAAAGGGGAGUUACCAAUCAAAAGCAAUACCAAGAUUAGUAAGACUCAAACCCCGGGUACCAAUGCCAAGAUAGCAGAGAUGAGUAGUGUACCUUAUGCUUAGGUAGUUGGCUCAAUCAUGUAUGUUAUGAACUGUACUCACCCUUAUGUGGCCUUCGCUUUGAGUAUGGUCAGUAGAUAUCAAGGGAAACCUGGUAGAGCGCAUUGGACCACAGUAAAGAAUAUUCUUAAGUACCUUCGGAGCACUGACGAAAUGUAUCUUAUCCUCAAUGGGAGUGAUGAAUUGAGAGUGCGAGGGUAUAGUGACGCUAGUUUUCAGACUGACUGGGAAAAUUUCCGCUCGUUGCCGGGUUGGGUCUUUACGCUAAAUAGAGGAUCAGUAACUUGGAAAAGUUCCAAGCACGAGACCAUAGUUGAUUUAUUGUGCGAAUCAGAGUACAUAGCAGCGAGCAAAGUGUCAAAGGAGGCGAUAUGACUAAAGAACUUCAUCGAAGACCUUGGAGUUAUACCGACCAUAAAGGAGCCUAUGGAGAUUUUUUGCGAUAACAAAGGUGCGAUUGCCUUAACCAAGUAACCGAGGGAUAAUGGCAGAUCCCGACACAUUGACAGGAAAUAUCAUUUCAUUAGACAUCGAGCAGAAGAGGGACUCCUCAUUGUAAAGAGGAUCUCGAUUGAAGAGAACCCAACAGAUCCCCUUACGAAGGGACUGAGUAUGGUUAAGCACUUACAGCACGCUAGGAGCAUUUGGCUGCAUGACUAUAUUAGUUUUAGUGAUUAGAUAGCCUUAGAAACUUGUAAUAGAUAAAUUGUAAUUGUCAUUUUGAUGAUUAAAUAAAGGCGUUUUUUAGAAAUAAUGUUACUGUCUUAUGCCAAUUAUUUACUAUUGUUUCACUUUGCAUGUUUUUACUUCCUAAAUAAUAAAAUUAUUUAAACUAUCUACAAUCGAUCAUACUUUGGAAGUUGGUAUGAAAGAAGACUAUCAUAAAUUGGCUUGUAAAUUGCCUAAGCAUUUAUACAUAGAAAAAAUUUGCUGCAACGUUCAUGAGUACUUAUGAAAUAUGAUUUGAGUAUUGGAUUAAACAUGCACUCACAUGAGUCACUUGAUGGAAUUUAAUCACGAGUGAUUGUGAGAUGAUAAUAUCAUAUAGUCUUUGAGCCUAGAUAUAUGAGUUGUUGUUUACGAGUUGGAUGUGCAUCGAUAAUGUGUAAAUGCAUCAGUAACUUGAUAUUAUAAAACGCAUUGUUGUGUACGAUUCGAUGAGUAAAUAGUACAAACAUAUUAGUCAAAGUUUAUCUGUUCCUUUUAUCCUAUGAGGCUAAAAGCGAUAUCUUAGGCCCCUCAAUGAUUUUGUUUUGACUUAUGGGUCGGGCCCGGUCAGGACUAAAUUGUUGUGUUCAAUUAAGUUCUAUGUCAGAAAAAUCAGAGAUCGUGAAACAAACUGAUGGACAAUAUGUAUGACUAUGUUCCAUGUAACUGUCCACACUAUAUCUUGAGAACGGAGGACUAUACGAUCCCUUAUCUAACGGACGUGUCUGAGUUCGACGACGGCUUUUGAGAGCUACGAAGGCUAAUAAGAUUAUGAAGUCAUGCUUGUAUUUUAGUUAUUAGACUUAUCCAAGUGGCAGACUGUUGGAUUAAGUGUCUAAACCCAUAACUUUAUUUGGUAUGCACUUGACACGGUUGUGGCAUGUUCCUUUUGGGUGGCCUUCACCAGAGCAACUUGACUAAUUGAAUAAUUGAGAAAGACAUUAUUAUGGUUUAUUAAUAUAUUAUAUGAAUAAUAUAUUAAAAGAGAAAUCAUAUUAUUUAACUAACAUUGGUCAAGAAGUAAUUUAGAAUUAAUUUUGUGGUCAAAAGAGGUUAAUUGAAUUAAAGGGACUGAAGUUGUAAUUAUAAGAUAAUUGCAAUAUGGGUUGAGAAACCCUAAAGAUAGGUUGGACGAAAUGUUAUGGAAAGCCCAAAAUGAUUUCGUCCAAGGGCUAGAUUCUAGAAGGAUCUAGUGGGCUACAUAGAACCUAAGCAACCAGAUUAGGUCUUUAACUCAAACCCUAAUUCCUCACCUAUAUAAAUGAGCAUUGGCUUCAGAAAUUCGGCUACCACUUGAACCCUAGAGAUUAUAGAGCCGAUAUUGAGCCUUUCCCCUCUCUCUCCAAGAUCAUCCAAUUUCUUUGGUGUUGGUGAUUCAUUAGAGGCAUCGCAUUUGAGGUGUUAGGGUCUCAAGAGGUCAAGAUCAUCAAACUUCAAUUGAAAGGUAACAUUCUUAAUCUUAUUUAUGUUGAUUUCUAUUUUAUUGUAUGCUAGUUUAGGGUUUAAGAUCUUUGUAUGAUUAUUUCAUGUACAAAUAGAAAACAUACAUCCAAAGCUUUAGGGUUUGCAUGUGCGCCAUAUGAUUGAUGUUUUGCUGAUAACCCAACAAAAACAUGAUAAUGAUAUUAUCAAAUCAUUUCCGAAGUAAUGUAUUUUAUUUAUGUGAAAACAUUGGGAUGUCAUCGUCAAUACAGAAACAUAAGCAUAACGAAUUAUUACAAGCCUUACAAUAAUUAAACCAGUGGCCUAAUACUCCUUGAAUCUCUCAACGAAAUGUAUCUUUCAUAUAGCCACCUGCGAUACAAUAAAAUGAGUGGGUUAGGUUGGGAAACCUGGUGAGUUGUCACACCCCAAAACCAUGAAUGGCGGAAACAUUCUAGGGCGGAGGACGUAAUGUACAGUAUCACAAACAAUGAAUAAUAGUAAACAAGAAACAAAAUCAUCCAUUGCAUUAAUAGUAUAAUUUCAUACAUGUGUGUUCUGUCAAAGUUAUAGACACCAAAAAUAUACGUAUCAAAAUAAAAGAUGAGUCUUGAACGAACUCCAUCUUCUCAAAAGUCUGGCACCUGAACCUGUCUAGUGGUGAUCUGAGAAUACAAGUUGUUUUGAAAGAGAGUAUCAGCUUAAGGCUGGUGACAUCAUAAGUAUAUUAGUGUCUUAGUUUAUAUGAAAGCAUUUAUAAGAUGUUUGUAAGUUGUAAUGUAUAAGUUUUGUAAAGUUUGUGUUUGUUUGAACUAUCCUAGAAAACCCUAUGUUUCCUACUAAGAGUAGCCUUCUACCAAGGCAUCUAGUAACCGUGUGUGUGUCUUUUGUAAGAGUGUGUAUUUUCCUAAAUCCGACUAUCAUUAACCAAAAAUAUAGUUUUUACAUUACCGUGCAUCGUGUGAAAGUUCACGAAGUGAAUGUAAUGGGAUAAAUAUUAUAGUACUGUAGUGUUGUAUUAAGUAACUACUGCUGUAUUAACUACCUUAAACCAAUUGUUAUUUAAAGUACAAUGUGAUCGGCCUGUACCCUGCUACCGACUCAAUAGUAAAACGACGAUGUAAGACGCCGUAAGAAAUGACAUUUGGCACCCGUAGACUUGCAAGUCCCACUGCAGUGAGCAGCAAGGUGUAGGAUAGUCAAUCCAGUAUAGAUCUAUACACAAACUCAUACGCUCCCCAAUUAAGGAGAUUCUGGAUACAAAAACGGUCAUGGCAGGUAGUGCCAUGACCCGUUUAAUAGCUAAUAAUAAUUUAAUGUAAUGUAUAUGUAAUGUAUCUGUAAUGUAUGUGCUAGUUGUAUUGUGUGUUCUUCCUCUGUCUAGCCUGUAUGUUUGUUUCUCAUCACUAUGUAUUAUGUUUGUUUCUCAUCACUAUGUAUUAUGUUCGUUUCUCAUUACUAUGUAUUAUGUGUGUUUCUCAUUACUAUGUAUUAUGUGUGUUUCUCAUUACUAUGUAUUAUGUUUGUUUCUCAUCACUAUGUAUAAGUAUUAGUAAAACCCUAAACUACGCCUAUUGUAGUUUACUAGUAAUAUAACUUGUACGUACGAAUAUGGAAGUAUACCCUUGCUACCCAAGGGUAUUGAAUUGACUGGAAGGAACUUUUAUGACUAUAUAUGUACACAUGAUAUAUAACUAAUAUUUAAACGACCUUCAGAUGGACACCCAAUAUCCCGCCAGACCACAUCUCAAGCGCGAAAAGGAAAUAGGGCGGGCAGGCCUUCCUAAGCCUUUUAAACAUUGCUUAUAUAACUAUACAUACAUGGACAUGCAAUUGAUAAAAGAGUUUUAAGUAAAAGUAUUUGAUAAGUAAAAGAGUUGUAAAACACUUUGAAGCGAAACAGUUUGAUAAACAAUUUGAACAAUAAGGAAAUCACUGGUUUUGUAGUUAUUAAUCACAUGUGAUUGAUGUAAUAACUAUAAAUAUUUUACUUUUAUUUCCCCCCCCCCCAUAAAAGCAUUUAAAAACAUUUAAAUCAUUGAUUAAGGGGUAUGAACUCACCUGUAGUGAGUGCUACGGAUGUUCUGAAGAGGUAGGAUUGCUAGGUGUCAACUGAAGUCUUGAACACACGCUAUGACCCUAGUUAACAUAUAAUCACACAUUUGUGUACCCAAUUAGCUUUAAACUACUAAUUGAAAUUGUUUAGACUUCCUAGAACAUGUUAAACACUUUAUAUAAGUGUUAUAAGCCCUAAGGAUUGCAUCUAAGUUGUUGUAGGACCCGACUAGUGAGUUUAGGGUUCCAAAAGACCCCAUACAUGAGUUUACUCUCCAAUAAACCUCACAGAAGGAGUUUACGGUUGUUAGGUCAAAAUAUGGUUUAUACUUUGCUUUUCUAGGAAAAUAUAUAUUUAUGUAAUGUUGUAUGUGCUUGCGGUUUGUGUGUACGGCCGUACACGUGUGUAGGUGUGCGGCCGUACACAGGGUGUGCGGUUGUACACAUGUGUAUGGCUGGAGGUCCAUAUAAAUUGAGGAGUGCAUGUGGGAGUGUACGGUUAGAAAAGAAAGAGGCUAGAGAAGAGAGAGAAAGUUAGAGAGAAGAAGUGUGUGUGAGAGAGAAUCUAUUGUAAGGAGCAUCAAUCAUAUCAUCAAUACAUUAGAUUCAACAUCUUCUUCUUCUCAUUCUCUUCUAUAUUUGAUCUAACAUCAUCCAAUUGAUUGGGAUUCCGCACCAUCAAUUGGAUCUGAUUGAUACACAAGCAAUUUUGGGGAUUUACAAUUGGUAUUAGAGCUUGGUUGUAUCAAUUAAUUUAUUCAGAUCUGGAGCUUAUUUGAUCUUAUUUUGAAAAGAUAAUAGCGUUUUUGGAUAGAUCUCGCAAAAAUAAGGGGGGUUACUUCUUUGCAUUUUUCAUAAAAACGAGUUUUUGAAAGAGUUUUGGAGCAAAAAGGGUGAAAAACGUCGUUUCUUUCGCGAAUCUGUUGAAGGUGUGCGGCCCGGUUGAAGGAGUGUGGCUGGUUGAAGGUGUGCGGCUCAGCAGCCUCGGUGUGCGGCUCAGCAGUGUGCGGUUCGGUUUGUGCGGCCGGCUCGGUGUGCGGCUCGGAGNNNNNNNNNNNNNNNNNNNNNNNNNNNNNNNNNNNNNNNNNNNNNNNNNNNNNNNNNNNNNNNGCUAGGUCUUCGGUACUCGGUCUCGCCUCGGAAUCCACGGCUCAGCUUCGCUCUCGGCUAAACAGCGUCCGGCUCGCACGCAGCCUCGUCCUCACAGCAGCAUCCUUGCAUCGCUUCGCAGCAUCCAUAAAAAUAGAAACGGAGCUUAGGGCUGUCGGGGAUCGAACCCGGGUGGCUUGUCUAUUGUACAGCGCGCUUUACCAACUCGACUAGCACAACCUUUGUGUCAUCCUUCGAAACAUAAAUCAUAAGCUGUGAUUGUCGGUUUAUAUUUUCGCAAAUUGACAAUAUCAGCCCAAAAAAUUCAAAAUUUUAUUUUUAAAAUCCAUUUUCAACCCAAAAUUUUUUGAUUUUAAUUUUGACUUUUGACUUUAAAAUUUUGACUUUGACCUUCAAGUUUGACAUUUGACUUUAAACUUUGACUUUCUCGUUUUACUUUUAAUUUUUCAUAUUUAGCUUUUCGGUUUGACUUUUAAGUUUGACUUUUUAAAUUUGACUUUUAGGGUUGACUUUUGAGUUUUUAGUCAAAGGGAAAUUAAAAAAAAAUUAAAAAAAAAACAAAAAAAAAAUGAGUUCCACAUCAAUUCCGGUAAAUGAAGUUUCAUGUACUCCAUCUUGUAUAGCUACGAUUAAAUUUCUUCGCGAACAAAUUGAUUUGCUAAAAAGGGAAAAUGAAGACCUAAAAUAUGAAAGAUACACCAUUAGGAAAGAACAAAAACCGUUAAAAGCUCAAUUAGAAACCAAAAUCAAGGAUUUCCGAAAACUCCAAGAAGAUUACAGCAACAAGUGUGAAAAUUAUGAUCACAUUAAGAAAAAACUUGCUGCUGUAACUGAAGAACUUGACGCUUUGAAAAUAAAGUGUGGAAAAACAGAUGUUAGUUUCAAAAAUUACACUGCGUCAAGUAAGACAGUCGAGUCCUUAUUUGAAAAUCAAUUGAAAUUCAAAGAUAAUCAAAACAAGGGUCUAGGGUAUGAUAGUGUUCCUCCCCCUUUCAAUCAUAACUAUAUAUCCAUACCUUUGACUCAGGAAGAGAUUGACCGAGAACCAUUUAUGGUAUACGGUAAACCAGUUGUUGAACAGGCAACUGAGGGUGUUAAGCUGAAAGAUACUAAUGCUUCUACUUCAUAUGCAGGUAAAGUAGCAGAGGAUGAGAACAAGGAGAACACCAUUGAACAAACCAACAUCUCCUUGAACUCUGAAUCUGUUGCUUCGAACUCAACUGCUUCUGAUCAACCUGCUGUUGGUAAAGACAUGCCACUAUUUUAAGCUAAACAGAGUGCCUGUUGUAAGUGUGCAUGUGGGAACAAUCAAAAACGGGGCAAGGACACGCCACCAGGGGCAGGAAGAAACAAUUUCCCAGUGAAGAAAAAGACUUGUUUUCACUGUGGAACACCUGGUCAUAUUGCCCGAAAUUGUCCAAAUCGCGCAUACGUUCCUUAUUAUGCACAAGGCUGGCAGAACGCGCCAAGAGGGAGAUACUCCAAAAGAUACCCCUCGAGAUCACGAUCAGACAUUGACGACUGGAAUGCCAAGAAGGCCAAGAAUUCAACUCCCAAGGCCAAGAAUUCAACGCAGAAGGCCAAGAAUCUAAAUNGAAGCCAAGACCGGUUAAGUCAAAGCCAUCUCAACGGCCGACAUCAAGCUCAAAAGAAAUUACCAAGGCACCCAUUCAAUCCAAUAAGAAAUGGGUUAAACCCGACAACAGAUGGGUACCGAAGGUUCAAUCUCCCAAAUCAUCUAAUGCUUCUAAUAUUUCUACAUCUUUUGUUUGUGAUAAACAGGAUAUGUCAUGGGAGAAAGUACUGUGCAUUGAUGACAAAGGUCAACCCAGUUUCAAAAUGGACUGGGUUCCAAAGACCAACUAAUCAUGUUCUGUGUUGGAUCAGCUAUGGAGACAUAUCAUCAGACUUCGGUUUGUUGAUAGUAGUUGUUCCAAGCAAAUGAUAGGGGACAUCUCUCAACUGUACAACAUUCAGAUAUUGUUUGAGAGUAUGUGUCCUUUGCGGGAAGGGAAGAAAGGAAGGGAUCACAUGUGGUCUGUGCUUAAUGACACGAAGAAUUUUCGGAUCUGUUCUAAGAUUACGCGUGCUGUUUUCAGAUCUUCUGGAUGCAAAUUCAAUCGGUGACUUACGGUUUGACUUUUCUUCUCUAUACUCUGAGUUUUUCUUAAGCUGAUUCACUUUAAAGACAAAUUUUUGUUUUAGGAUGGUUUAAAUUUGCGCAUGUACUUUCGUUUCUCUCCUAUGCACAAAUUUAGGGGGGGAAAUAAAAACAAAACAAAAAUUAGAAAAUUUUAAAAAACAUAAAAAAUUAGAAAAUCCAAAAACAUUAGAAAAUCAGAAAAACAAAAUAAUAAUAUGUUGGUUAUGGAAUGUGCUUGAGGGAGAUGUUUUGGGAAGUGAUAUGAUAAAGUGAUAACAGGCAACCUGAGUCUGCGUAACGUACCCGAAGUUGAAG